rnacentral:lncRNA from 1 species
ACGUGGAUGUAGUAUUCGACACCGACGACCACAUGUACCUCGCACUGACGAUACUUGCUAUUUAGGGUACCAUCGACACCGAGGAACCCUCUUUUUCUUCUUCUUCUUCUUUCUCUUUUUUCCUUUUCUUCUUCUUCUUCUUCUUCUUCUUCUUCUUCUUCUUCUUCUUCUUCUUCUUCUUCUUCUUCUUCUUCUUCUUCUUCUUCUCCUUUUUCCUCUUCUUAAACCUAGCAAUAACCUAAAACAAAACAGGAAAAAACUACACCUAAACCUAGCACUAACCUAAACCUAAAAACUCAAAACUACACCUAAACCUAGCACUAACCUAAACCUAAAAACUCAAAACUACACCUAAUUAAACCUAGCACUAACCUAAAACGAAUCAAGAAAAUAGAGAACAAAAAAACAGGAAAAAACAGAAAGACAUUACCUNNNNNNNNNNNNNNNNNNNNNNNNNNNNNNNNNNNNNNNNNNNNNNNNNNNNNNNNNNNNNNNNNNNNNNNNNNNNNNNNNNNNNNNNNNNNNNNNNNNNNNNNNNNNNNNNNNNNNNNNNNNNNNNNNNNNNNNNNNNNNNNNNNNNNNNNNNNNNNNNNNNNNNNNNNNNNNNNNNNNNNNNNNNNNNNNNNNNNNNNNNNNNNNNNNNNNNNNNNNNNNNNNNNNNNNNNNNNNNNNNNNNNNNNNNNNNNNNNNNNNNNNNNNNNNNNNNNNNNNNNNNGGGGCGACAGGGCGACGGGGCGGGAAUGGCCGGCGGCGGCGACAGAGGAGAGAGGCGGGCGCACGGGAGGGAGAGAGAGAAAGAGAGAGAGGGGGGAGACGGCUCGACCCGUUGAGUGGGCCUUCUUUGCCGUCUGUUAGCAGACGGCAACGAGGGCCACCGUUAGGGCUGGCCCACGUCUCCUCUUUGCCGUCCGCAAGCAGACGACAAAGGACUAACAUUGCCGUCCGCCAGCAGACGACAAAGUAAUCACCUCUUUUGUCGUCCGCUAGCGGACGACAAAGAAUCUGACCUAGCCACGCCGUGCCCUGUGGGGCCCACCUAGCUCUUUGCCGUCUGCCUUCUAGCUCUUUGCCGUCAGCUGGCCGACGGCAAAGAAACAGCUGACGGCAAAUAGCAUUUUUGCCAUCUGCACUUUCUUUGCCGUCUGCAUUGUGGAAGCGGACGGCAAAGGGCAUCUUUGCCGUCAGCUGGCAGACGGCAAAGACGUGGCGGACGGCAAAAUGCCAGAUUCCAGUAGUGAUACACCCACGAUUACCUUCCUCAAAACAACCACCAUACCUACCUAUUAUGGCAUUUCCAUAAGCCAUUCCGAGAUAUAUUGCCAUGCAACUUUCCACCGUUCAUUUUAUUAUGACACGCUCCAUCAUUGUCAUAUUGCUUUGCAUGAUCAUGUAGUUGACAUUGUAUUUGUGGCAAAGCCACCUUAAUAAUUCUUUCAUACAUGUCACUCUUGAUUCAUUGCACAUCCCGGUACACCGCCGGAGGCAUUCAUAUAGAUUUAUAUUUUGUUCUAAGUAUCGAGUUGUAAUUCUUGAGUUGUAAGUAAAUAAAAGUGUGAUGAUCAUCAUUAUUAGAGCAUUGUCCCAAGUGAGGAAAGGAUGAUGGAGACUAUGAUUCCCCCACAAGUCGGGAUGAGACUCCGGAUGAAAAAAAUAAUAAUAAAAAAGAGGCAAUAAAAAGAGAGAAAAAGGCCCAAACAAAAAAAAGAAAAAUGAGAGAAAAAGAGAGAAGGGCAAUGCUACUAUCCUUUUACCACACUUGUGCUUCAAAGUAGCACCAUGAUCUUCAUGAUAGAGAGUCUCCUAUGUUGUCACUUUCAUAUACUAGUGGGAAUUUUACAUUAUAGAACUUGGCUUGUAUAUUACAAUGAUGGGCUUCCUCAAAUUGCCCUAGGUCUUCAUGAUAAAGCGAGUUGGAUGCACACCCACUUAGUUUCUUUUGUUGAGCUUUCAUACACUUAUAGCUCUAGUGCAUCCGUUGCAUGGCAAUCCCUACUCACUGACAUUGAUGUGUAUUGAUGGGCAUCUCCAUAGCCCGUUGAUACGCCUAGUUAAUGUGAGACUAUCUUCUCCUUUUUGUCUUCUCCACAAUCACCAUUCUAUUCCACCUAUAGUGCUAUGUCCACGGCUCACGCUCAUGUAUUGCGUGAAGAUUGAAAAAGUUUGAGAACAUCAAAAGUAUGAAACAAUUGCUUGGCUUGUCAUCGGGGUUGUGCAUGAUUUAAAUAUUUUGUGUGACGAAGAUAGAGCAUAGCUAGACUAUAUGAUUUUGUAGGGAUAGCUUUCUUUGGCCAUGUUAUUUUGAGAAGACAUGAUUGCUUUAUUAGUAUGCUUGAAGUAUUAUUGUUUUCAUGUCAAUAUUAAACUUUUGUUUUGAAUCUUGUGGAUCUGAAUAUUCUUGCCACGAUAGAGAAGAUUACAUUGAUAAAUAUGUUAGGUAGCAUUCCACAUAAUUUUUUUUGUUUUUAUCAUUUACCUACUUGAGGACGAGCAGGAAUAAAGCUUGGGGAUGCUUGAUACGUCUCCAAUGUAUCUAUAAUUUUUUAUUGUUCCAUGCUAUUAUAUAUUCUGUUUUGGAUGUUUAAUGGGCUUAUUUAUACACUUUUAUAUUAUUUUUGGGACUAACCUAUUAACCGGAGGCCCAGCCCAAAUUGCUGUUUUGUUGCCUAUCACUACAAAAAAAGACACAUCCGUGACAUUUUGGGCCGAACGAAAAUCUUUUCUGUCAUACUUAUGACACUUCUAUGACGAUAAUUGUGGCAAAACACGGUAUCAUCAUAGAUGUGCUGGGUCCUACUUCUAUGACAAAAAUUCAUGACAGAAAAUGGGCUUUUCGUCCUGGGCGGGCUGGAGGUGCAGCUGCAUGACAUUCUUUGGGCCGUCCAUGACGGAAAAAACCAUGGUAGAAGCGAGGGCGAGGAAAAUAUCGUGGUGUCCCCUGUUACGGUGGGUGGUUGGGGGCCGAGUGAUGCGCGUUUCUCUCGUACGUACACGCGUGUGUGCGAGGCGUUGGGCUCUAACUGAACCCGAGCGAGGCGUUGGGCUCUAACUGAACCCGAGCGAUUGCACUGCAGGCUACGCGUUACUGAACCCGAGCGAUCGAUCGAUGGCUGUUAACUGAACCCGAUCGAGCGAUUCCUUCGCUACUGCUGCUAACUGAAGCCGAUCGAUGCUGCCUCUCGAUGAACAGUGAGNNNNNNNNNNNNNNNNNNNNNNNNNNNNNNNNNNNNNNNNNNNNNNNNNNNNNNNNNNNNNNNNNNNNNNNNNNNNNNNNNNNNNNNNNNNNNNNNNNNNNNNNNNNNNNNNNNNNNNNNNNNNNNNNNNNNNNNNNNNNNNNNNNNNNNNNNNNNNNNNNNNNNNNNNNNNNNNNNNNNNNNNNNNNNNNNNNNNNNNNNNNNNNNNNNNNNNNNNNNNNNNNNNNNNNNNNNNNNNNNNNNNNNNNNNNNNNNNNNNNNNNNNNNNNNNNNNNNNNNNNNNNNNNNNNNNNNNNNNNNNNNNNNNNNNNNNNNNNNNNNNNNNNNNNNNNNNNNNNNNNNNNNNNNNNNNNNNNNNNNNNNNNNNNNNNNNNNNNNNNNNNNNNNNNNNNNNNNNNNNNNNNNNNNNNNNNNNNNNNNNNNNNNNNNNNNNNNNNNNNNNNNNNNNNNNNNNNNNNNNNNNNNNNNNNNNNNNNNNNNNNNNNNNNNNNNNNNNNNNNNNNNNNNNNNNNNNNUUCCCGGUGGGGGUGGAUGAACAGGACCUCGAUCGUUCGAGCCGAUUGGGGUUGGAUGAACAGGACCCCGUGGAGGGCAGGAUGAACAGGACCACCCCGUGGAGGGCAGGAUGAAUAGUAGACGGGGGAGGGCAGGAUGAACAGUAGCCCGUGGAGGGGUGGUUGAAUAGGAGCCCGUGGAGAGGGCUGGUUGAACAGUAGCCGGUGGAGUAGCGCGCGGUGGAGGCUGGAUGAACAGGAGCCCGUGGAUGAACAGUUGCAGGUGGAGGCUAGAGGAGGUCGACGGUGGAUGAACAGUAGCCCGUGGAGGCUGGAGGGGGUCGACGGUGGAGAUGAACAGUAUCCCGUGGAGUCCGGUUUUGCGGUACGCCACACCCCUCCCGAUGAACAGGACCCCCGUUUCGACCGUAGCGCUCCAACACAAGUCCGUUUCCUCCGUUUUGCGGUACGCCACACCCCUCCCGAUCAACAGGACUCCCGUUUCGACCGUAGGAGGUCCCUCCGUUUUAGGGUACGCCAGACCCCUCCCGAUGAACAGGAUCCCGUUUCGAAUGUGGCCGGUCGAACACAAGGCCGUUUCCUCCGUUCUGCGGUACACCAGGCCUCAUUUCCAUUGGCUGUUCCGUCCAAGCCCUCCCAAUGAACACGACGACGCAUUCCGUUCCGACCAAGCCGGUUGGCUCCCCAUGAACACGACGACGACACUGUUUCUCCGUUCCGACCGAGCCAUGUACACGAGCCCUGGCCGUACGUAUGCGCGAGUAGGCGUUCGAGACCCUGCCCGUAUGUACGUACGUGGCCGUAUUUUCUUUCUUGCACACUGGCCGCUGUACAUACGUGUACAUGCUACGUGCGCGCCUCUACUAUGACACGUGCGCGCCUCUACAUCGACCAGUAUGUACGUACACGUUCGUGACCAGAAUGACAACGCUACGUACGCUUCAACCAGGUGGGUCCCGACUGUCAGGCACUUCCUUGCUUGCGAAGAUGUAGCUGGUGCGUCCCAGCAGUCAGGGCGGCAAAUCAUUUUUUUGCCCCGGACGCACUUCCUUGCGUGCGAAGAUGUAGCUGGUGGGUCCCCGCAGUCAGGGGGAAAUGUUUUUUUUUGUGAAAUACGGUGGCCCGUCCGGUGGGUCCCUGCUGUCAGGUGGAGGAAUAAUUAUUUUGCGCGUAAUAAGGAGGCACUUCCUUGCUGCGGCCGUGGACCCAGCUGUCAGCCUCUCCACGCACAGUCCACGUCCGAUGGAAGCCGUGACUUGACCACGUUGACCACGCCGCGUCGAGAACACCAGGGCGGUGGACGAUGGCGAGGCCUAGGAAGGGGACGACGCAGAGCCGGGGAAGACGCGGCAGUGGAAGCCCGCGCGGAGAGGAGUACGAGGGUUCACUGGUUCGGCUGUGGUGUGAGGCUGCCGUCGCUGCAGGGCCUGGCCAACGGUGGGAAUAGUAGGGGGUGGUGAGGCCUCCGCGACAGCACAGCCGGCCACGGGAGGCAGGAGCAUGCGGCACGACCGGCGCUGCUUUGGGCGGCUGGAGCAACAAGACCAGAGGUUGAAGAAGCACUACGACCGUUGGAUGGACAUCGUACGGUCACUGGAGCUAGAAUCGUUCAUAUUCACUAAGCUGACAAAGCACUCCGUCCCCGUCAACUUAGUAGGCCCACAAGUCAGCCUCCCACCAAGGUGGGUCCCAAUCAGCAGGGGGAGUAUUCAUUUUUUUGUGCGUAAUAAGGAGGCACUUCCAGUGGGUCAGAGCUGACAGCGGGGGGAACGUUUUUUCGCGCAAUACGGUGGCCCGUCCGGUGGGUCCCAGCAGUCAGGGGGAAACGUUUUUUUUCGCGAAAUACGGUGGCCCGUCCGAUGGGUCCCUGCUGUCAGGUGGAGGAAUCAUUAUUUUCCGCAUAAUAAGGAGGAACUUCCUUGCUGCCGUCGUGGACCCAUCUGUCUGCCUCUCCACGUAUAGUCCACGUCCGAUGGAAGCCGUUCCUUGACCACGUUGACCAUGCCGCGCCGAGAGCACCAGGGCGAUGGACGACGGCGAGGCCUAGGAAGGGGACGACGCGGAGCCGGGGAAGACGCGGCAGUGGAAGCCCGCGCGGAGAGGAGUACGCGGGUUCACUGGUUUGGUUGCGGUGUGAGGCUGCCGUCGCCGCAGGGCCUGGCCAGCGGUGGGAAUAGUAGGGGGCGGUGAGGCCUCCGCGGCAGCACAGCCGGCCACAGGAGGCAGUAGCAUGCGGCACGGCCGGCGCUGCUUUGGGCGGCUGGAGCAACAAGACCAGAGGUUGAAGAAGCACUACGGACGUUGGAUGGACAUCGUACGGUCACUGGAGCUAGAAUCGUUCAUAUUGACUAAGUUGACAAAGCACUCCGUCCCGUCAACUUAGUAGGCCCACAGGUCAGCUUCCGAAACGGUGCGCCCCAGAUGCCAGGGGGAGGAAUCAUUUUUUGGGCGGGUGAAGCUAGAAUAUCCGAGAUUGAAGAAGCAUGGCAUCCGUUGGAGGGACAUCCAACGGCCACUGCUGCUAGAACCGUGUGUUGACUAUAAGUUGACAAAGCCUUGCAUACGCGUCAACUCUUUUUUUUGAGGGGACACGUCAACUUAGUAAGGCCACAAGUGUGUGGCAGAGAACUUAUAGCCCAUUUGUGAUUUGUAAGAAUGUGCAGCCAAUUUUUGAAUUCUAAUGGAAUUUACUACAGCCCAUUUACAGUUUGUUAAAAGUACAACCCAUUUCAACCAACCGUUCUGUAACACCCCGAGACCGACGCUUCAGAAGACUUCCUUAUUUUCGUGAUCACCGUGUGUUCCUUUUGGUGCUUGCUCUUUUAUUUUUGCAUUGUAUCAUUUCAUCAUGCCAUCUUGUCAUUAAUCUUUGCAUCAAAACUCAACUAAAUAAAUUGCAUGGAUCUUCGAUCCAUUUAAAUCGAGGGAAGGGUGACUUCUCUUUAUAACAUAUCCUCCCAAUAUUAGGGAGCUAUAGUAAAUAUUCCAUUAAUUUGGAAUUGACCAUAACACACUUGCAAAUAAUCCCCAUGCCCAAACUCCACUCCAAUCUCUCUCGACAUUUCUUCUAAAGCUUUUGUUCUUUGAAAUAGAGAGAUAUUUAGAGAGAGAGAGAAGAGGGCCAGCCAAACCUCCCCUAAGCCGGCCCAUUAGCCCAGCCAGCCCACCUAAACCUAUAACCCUAGCUCGACCGAUCCCAUCUCUCGAUCCCCAGCUCUCUCCCUUCGUUCUCCUCCUAGUGUCGCCACUCGCAGGGAGAGAAAGAACAGAGCCACGCCUUGCCCGAUCCCCUCUCCCCAUCGUCCUCCUCCUGCGCCCACGCCUUGCCUCCCAUGGCGCCCGAAGCCAUGCCCCGUCGCCCCUCCGGCCGGCGAGUCUAGGCCGCCCAGCUCGCCGCCGCCGCCGCCGACCAAGACUCCGCCCACGCCGCCUCUCCUCCCGCUUCUCCUCGUCGCCACCAACCGUCUCGACCUCACCGCGGGCAGCAGCAGUUGCUGCAGCACCCUCUCGCCGACGCCGCGCUCGGAUCUCCACCGCACCUUGCCUUCGACCUCGGCUUCCGCGUCCCAUGGCCACGAGCGCCACCAGCAGCAGGUUCAGGCCGUCCCGCCGAGUCCCUCGCCGCCCUCCUGCACCUCGUCUCCGGCCCUGUCCGUCGGAGCCGCGCCUCUCGGUGCCCGCAGCCGCGUCGCCGGUGUUCCUCCUCAACGCUGCCGCCUCGAACCUCCUCCGCGCGCCAAGUCCCGCCACGUCCAUCACCUCCCCGACGCCCUUGCUGCUGCUGCUAGACCACCUCGGUGCCACCAGGGAGUGCCAUGGCCUCCACCGAGACCCUUGGAAUCAUCAAGACCGCCAAGUACCACGUCAUACGGCGCCCGAAUGACUACCGCACCGAACGCCAAGUACAACUAUGAACCCGAAGACCUCGGAUGAAAUGUUUUGUUGUAUGAAAUUCUCGCGUUUCCACCGUGUCCCAGUUGUUGCUUGCGCGUUCCUUGUUUCCUUGCCACCGUCUUGUGGGACACCCGGUAACCAGGAUCACCCCACCAUCUUGUAUGGCACGCUCACGCCCACUUCUUUUGCACCGGUAUCUUCGUGAGCUACCGGAACCGAUUUGUUGCCGUGGCAUCAUUUUCGGAUCGUUGCCGUGGUACCCCUUCCACCACGGUGAUAAAUGCUUCAUAACAUGCUUAUAACAACGUUUUCAUAAAAUUGCUUAAAAACUUGCAUAUGUCAUUCGCAUCAUGAUAACAACAUUUAAAUGUUUACAAUUGAUGUUUGCAUUAAAAUUGCUAAAUGACAUGAGGAUUUUCCGGAAUUAUUGUUUGUUGUUCCGGCCUCAUUUAAAUUGCCUAGAUAGUUAGUUUACUUAUGCUUCACCUCUUGCCAUGUUAAUCAACAUUUAAUAUUGUUGGGUACAUAACCGAGAGAACUAAAUAAUUGAUGUGGUGUUUCGUCAAUAUGCAACUCGUUGCAUAUUGAGCUCCACUUAACUUGUAGUUUCGUUUGUGCACUUUGCCAUGCCAUGCCUAUUUAAACCGGACAUGCAUCAUACUUGUUUGUGCAUCAUGCCAUGUGUAUGUGGUGGUUGUUUACUAUGUUGUUUGUCUCUUUCCGGGUUGCUUCUCUCAUUAGCUUCGGUUUCGUUCCGGAGUUGUGAGGAUCCGUUCGACUACGUCCGUUUGUCUUCUUCAUGGAUUCGAUCUUCUUCCUUGAGGGAUCUCAGGCAAGAUGACCAUACCCUCGAAAUCACUUCUAUCUUUGCUUGCUAGUUGUUUCGCUCUAUUGCUAUGCCGCGCUACCUACCACUUGCUAUAUCAUGCCUCCCAUAUUGCCAUGUCAAGCCUCUAACCAUCCUUUCCUAGCAAACCGUUGUUUGGCUAAGUUACCGCUUUGCUCAGCCCUUCUUAUAGCGUUGCUAGUUGCAGGUGAAGAUGAAGUUUGUUCCAUGUUGGAACAUGGAUAUCAUGUUGAUGUUGGGAUAUCACAAUAUCUCUUAUCUUAAUUAAUGCAUCUAUAUACUUGGUAAAGGGUGGAAGGCUCGGCCUUAUGCCUAGUGUUUUGUUCCACUCUUGCCGCCCUAGUUUCCGUCAUACCGGUGUUAUGUUCCUUGAUUUUGCGUCCCUUACGCGGUUGGGUGAUUUAUGGGACCCCCUUGACAGUUCGCUUUGAAUAAAACUCCUCCAGCAAGGCCCAACCUUGGUUUUACAUUUGCCUCACCUAGCCUUUUUCCCUUGGGAGUCACGCUCCCGAGGGUCAUCUUAUUUUACCCCCCGGGCCAGUGCUCCUCGGAGUGUUGGUCCAAACUAGAGCCACUUGCAGCGCCACCUCGGGGAAACUUGAGGGCUGGUUUUAGUUGUACGUAGUGUUCAUCCGGUGUGUCCUGAGAACGAGGUACGUGCGACUCCUAUCGGGAUUGUCGACACAUCGGGCGGCUUUGCUGGUCUUGUUUUACCAUUGUCGAAAUGUCUUGUAAACCGGGAUUCCGAGACUGAUCUUGUCUUCCCGGGAGAAGGUUUAUCCUUCGUUGACCGUGAGAGCUUAUAAUGGGCUAAGUUAGGACACCCCUGCAGGGUAUAAACUUUCGAGAGCCGUGCCCGCGGUUAGGUGGCAGAUGGGAAUUAGUUAAUAUCCGGUUGUAGAGAACUUGACACUUGACCUUAAUUAAAACGCAUCAACCGCGUGCGUAGCCGUGAUGGUCCCUUCUCGGCAGAGUCUGGGAAGUGAACACGGUUUUUGGGUUAUGUUUGACGUAAGUAGGAGUUCAGGAUCACUUCUUGAUCAUUACUAGUUGACGACCGUUCCGUUGCUCCUCUUCUCGCUCUUAUUUGCGUAUGUUAGCCACCAUACAUGCUAGUGCUUGCUGCAGCUCCACCUCACAACUCCUUUCCUACCCUUAAGCUUAAAUAGUCUUGAUCUCGCGGGUGUGAGAUUGCUGAGUCCUCGUGACUCACAGAUACCUCCAAAACAGUUGCAGGUGCCGACGAGACCAGUGCAGAUGACGCAACCGAGCUCAAGUGGGAGCUCGAUGAAGCUCUUGUUUGUUGUGUUGUUUCGUUUCCUGUUGAUCAGUAGUGGAGCCCAGUUGGGACGAUCGAGGAUCUAGCAUUUGGGGUUGUCUUGUUUUAUUUUGGUUCCGUAGUCGGACCUAUGUGUGUAUCUUGAAUGAUGUAUGAAUUUAUUAUGUAUUGUGUGAAGUGGCGAUUGUAAGCCAACUCUUUAUCCCAUUCUUGUUCAUUACAUGGGAUUGUGUGAAGAUGACCCUUCUUGCAACAAAACCACCAUGCGGUUAUGCCUCUAAGUCGUGCCUCGACACGUGGGAGAUAUAGCCGCAUCGUGGGUGUUACACGUUCAAAACAGAAUUCAAUAAAAUUUCCCACAUUUUGAUGGGAUCCGAAAUAUUUUUAUGCCAAAAUUUCUAGUCAGAUUAAAUACAAUUUCAAUAUAAAUUUAUAUUACGUAAAAAUCCAACGAAACAUUGCGCACGCAACAAUUAAUGAAAUUAAAAUUUUCAAUAUCCAAAAAUAAUAUUUUAUAAAGUAAUUACGUGUUUGGUGCAUUUUUUAUAGUUACUGCCUAGUUUUUAUAAUUACAUCCCAUUCAUUAUUUCUUAAAGCCCAUUUUCUUGUUAAGCCUAAUGCAUCCCUCCUAGGAAAGAUUUGCAGCCCAGCGGGGUGGAGAAUAAGAACUUGACCUUGCCUGGGUAUUCCUAAAAAAAGUAUAACUGGGCUAGCCAUUUUCAGCUUGAAAAAAAAUUAAUAUCUGGGCUGGAUAUCUGGCCUGGGCUAGACGGGCCACAGCCCGCCCAGUUAAUAGCUGCAGCGAUGUUUUCAUUGUUGUUCAGAGGAGAAAAAUUAAUAUCUGGGCUAAACAUCGCUCAAGAAAAACUCUGCAGUGCUCACACCUCAAGAACACAAAUACUGCUCGAGCUGCUUGGUCCUAGCUGUCGGCCGCUUCUUGUGCAAUUCUCUCGUUUAUUGACUACAUAGGUUCACAAUGGUGUGGGACCGUGAUGUCAGGAAACCAGGAGGAAGCAAAAAAAUUAUAGUUUUAUAUACUAAUAAGGAGGCACUUGCUGUCAUCCUCUCCAAGUAAAGUCAUCUCCUCAUCCUCAUGUCCGUUGACCAUGUUGACAACGCGAGAUGGCGGUGCCCCGGCGAGCGCAACAACUUGAAGGACGACGGAGAGGGCCUCGCGGGCCCUACGGAUGGUCUGAUACAGCAUCCGCUGCUCAUUCGGGAAGCCAGGAUCAUAGGGCCACAUGUCAGCGACGACAUUGUCGUUCACUUGUUCACCGGUGCUCGUUGAGGAGACGGAGGUUGCAGCACAGGUCCUCCUGCGCUGGUAGCUCUUCCUCCAUUAGGGCGUCGAAGUGCGGCCGCACUUGCUCUAUGGUGAACACGGCAUGAACCGGCUUCGACAGUGGUGUCGGCUCCUGGUCGGAUCCUACGUCCAUAGUCUGAUUGUCGUCGCUCAGCUCGGCGAGGUAGCUGGCGAGCCAGCAUGUCCGGCUGCUGGACCGACCCGCUGCCAAGCACGAGUCUGACUGCCCUGGCCCACCCAGACCGCCUCCCUCGCCAGCGCGCGCUUUCCGCCUGAAAUGGUCAGCGCCGCCCGCCCCGCUUCCCGGUGCAUGCGAUUGCUCUGUCUUCAAACGACACAAGUGCCGUCCGUCCGUCCUUCUGCCGCCCACAUUAAUGAUACGCGGUUGCCGAGGCGGCUACUCCAGCGCCACACGUCCGUCCCUCCGCCGCCCACCAUUGCUAUAUAAACUGCUGCGCCGGCCAUAGCCGCAGUCAUCCGCAUCCGUUCCUAUUCUCCUGUCCACACCACUACUGCCCACCAUGGCUUCCUCGCGCUCUAGCGCUCUUCGGGACGGGUGGACGACGGACCACAAGGAGAUGGUAGCCAUUGCUGCUGACUGGCUGGCCGGCAGGCAGCCGGAGGACAACGAUGUCCCAAUGGAGAACAUGGUAGUCGACGAUCCGGCGCCAACCCCCUCCUCCGCGCCAUCCUCGCUGGUGCAUUGCACCAUGACCAUCGGCGAGGCCCGUGCCCAAUAUAUGGACACGGUGAGGCAGAAGCGUGAGGAGCAGUUCCGGGAGGCGCAGGCCGACGCCGCCUACAACCACCAUCUCCUCCAGGAGCACCUGCAGGCGGAGGAGCAGAUCGCCGCGGAGCGGGCGGGGUAGGAGGCACUGCUCGACUCGUACCGCUCCGCCCGCGAAAGCCGCCUCGAGCACUGGCGGUACCGCAUGCGGGUGGCGGAGGCUGCGGCUGCCUACAAAGAGGGCAAUGAAGCGGCCGAGGCGCUGUUUGGCGAGUCCGAGGACGAGGCAGAGGACAAUGCCGGCUCCGACAAGUCCCCGCUCCGCUGGCGUCGACGAGGCCCCGCGGCGCCAACAACGAGGCAGAGGACACCGCCGAGGCCCCACCCUGCCGGCAACGAGGGGGAGGAUUUCCCCCCGCUCCGCCGAGGCGCCGCCCGCCAGCAACGAGACAGAGGACAUUGCCGACUCCGUCGAGGCCCCGCCCCGCUGCCAACGAGGCCGCGCCACACAGAAAACGAGGAAGAGUAGAACACGGUAGGUUGCCGCCGCUCGGGUCCAAGUAUGGCCACCGCUGCUACCCUCCGGUUGCUGGCACUGAGCUGUACAUCAUGGAGCAAUUCUAUGAUUACAGGCUGAUUGAAGAGCGCUCCGUGGUUGAGCAAGCUCAUGAGAUACAGUCAUUUGCUAGAGAACUUGAGCACUUCAGUUGUAUGCUACCGGACAAUGUGCGAAGUAAAAAGGAACAGAAGGGGUACAAAGAGUUUGAGCAGCUUUUUAGCAUUCCUGUACAUUGCAAUCACAGCGAUUCACAUGUCAUAGAGAACAUUCAAAACAAUCGAUGAUUAUGCAUCUCAGCGAUUCACAUGUCAGAGCCAAUAUUUACUUCACAACUAAAGAAUAAAGAAAAAUGGAUCGACGCUGCUGUCAGCAAAGGGCGACCCAUUCGAAAAUAUCAAACGCAUGUCUUCUUGCUAAAAUCAAUGAGCAAAAUUUGACAAGGUUUUCCCAUUCCAAAAUAUCAAAUGCCUACGAUUGUGGAAUGGGCAGGGUUUGCCAUCAGUUCGGACAUUGACAUGGCACCUCGUGAUAAAUAAACCAGCUGUUCUUUUUGUGCAGUUCCACCAAAAUCAACCAAAUUCACGCGUAGCUUGUAUGUUUUCGCCCUUAUAUGUUGCAACGCCUUGAACUUAUCGGCACCUCCUUUCUUGUGGUGGAAAUGAAUGAUUCGAUGUAUUCAUGAACAUUUUGUGCAGUUCCCAUUAAAAUGAAGCUGAGCACCCCUGUUUGCACAAAUACAAAAAAAGUGAUUAGUAUAAAGCAAACUGUACUAUGAAUUGACAGUUUAAACAGGCACCUACAUGGUCCAUGUAGAGCACACUUUUACAAAAAUGGAACUCACCGGAAAGAAUCCUAGAACAACAUUGUAAUCGCGCGUCACAGCAACAAAAUGGAGAUUUGUCAGUCCUUCUGAGCUGAAGUUUGUUUGGUCUUGUGGGGGGUAAUGUAACCAUCCUUCAACUGCUCCUUCUGAUGAGAAGAUAGAAAGGGCUUCUUCAUCCUGGCAUAAUCGGAACUAGUCAUUUCACGUACUCCAUAUUCUUCUUCAGAGGAGGAUGAUCCUGUUGUGCAAAGACAAGAGGAUAACUAAAUGCUAGCAUCCCUGUUUGCUCGAAAAAAGGAAAGGAAAUAUUUAAAACAACACAGAUGAAGCACUUCUCAAGGAUAAUACCACUUUUUGAUGACAGCAUCUAAACAGUAGCACAACACCAAUAGAGAUGACAAAGCUCAAUCAUAUGGAUGAAAUCAGUGGGCGAGUACCAACCUUUGUUAGGAGGCUUAUUGUGUAGAGCAUACAGAUGAAGCACUUCUCCGGAACCAUCUGUUGCUAUCUACUGUGGUGGCCAUGCUUACUAUAUACUCCUUGAUUAGAUUAAUGUUUCCAACAUCUUCUUGUGCAUUUCCACUAAAAUAUAUGGUAUCUUCAAAGAAGAUACCUAUUUGCACAAGUAGAGAUAGUUACGUAUUACAUUAAGAGUGGCAUCAAAUCAGUGGAAAAACAAUUAAUCGUUCCAGCCAUAGCAAUAAAUUAAGAUGCAAAACUAUAUCAUUACUUGUGUCAUCAUAGUUCCAAUGCUUCAUUACAGCACCAGGAGUUGAUUUUUGUUUUUCUUUCGCUUGUUCUUCCCCUUCAUCACUUGGUUCAAUAAUAGACAAGCUUCGCCUUCAAUGUAAGAUUUGGCAUGUCAAUUAGGUUGCACAAGUAUACCACUAAACAAUGACAUUAAUUUUCUGAUGAAAGUGGCAAAAUACAGGCCAACAGUUGUGAAAUACCCUUAUCUUACCUCAAUGGGAUAUUAUGGUGCACAUACAGAUUGGAAGUCUUGUCUCCAUUUGUGCAGUUCACUAAAAUCAAGCAACAUUACCGUACAAGUAGCAUAACAUAUGAAAUCACACUGCACAAUCAUGUGAAAGAAGGCUAGUACUGACCUCUCAUGACGCGGAAUUCAAACAACUCACAAGAAGAAGAUCUGAACCAAAUUUGCCAACACGGAUAGGAAGUAAGAUCUCCUCUUGUGCAGUUCCACUAAGAUCAAGCAAUCAAGCAACGUUGUCGGUGUGACAUUUUGGUUGAACUACACAAAACACUCUUAAAACAAAAGUCUUUUGUGCAGUGCAACAAAAGGUCACAAUGGCAACGAGGUGAAGUAGAUAACCCUGUUUACACAGAGGUGCAAAGGAAACAACUAGUGGUCAAUAAUGGUGGAUGACACAGAAGCCAACAAAAACAAGCAUCUACCUUAUCUAAAUGGGAAAGAAAGCAAGACAGUAGCAUUUCUCAAACGGUGGCAUUGAUUAAUAUUAACAGAGAGAUUAUAUUAACAAUAAAAUUCGUUAAACAUGUAAUUUGCUUUUAACUGUGGCAUUGCAUCAAUUUUCCAGCGGCAUUAUUAGAGGGUGUUUGUUUGCAGGGACAUUUUGGUGGAGGGACUAAAAAAACUCCGUGUCAGUCCCAUCUAAACCAAACAGGGGGGACUUUUAGGGACUAAAAGUGGGCAUUUGGGACUAAAGAAAGAAGACCCCGAGGGAGUCUUUUUGGGACUUUUUCCAACAGUUUCCCCUACGACGCAUCGCACCUUGUCUCUAUUAGUUCUCUACUAGGGGUAACAUGGUCUCUUAGCAUGUCAUUUAAUAACCUCUAGUCCAUGUUUAGUCCCUGGAACCAAGCAGGUAGGGACUAGGGAGUUUUUAACCAAACAGGGCCUUAGAUUAACAACAGCUAAAGAGUUGCACGGGAUAGUGGACGCACCAGCACCAUGUGCAUCUACCGAUGUACUGGGGUGAUGCACUAUCUAUUGCAACAAAGAACAAACAACCAAGGAGUAUAUUUGUGUUGGUCCCAGUUUUGUUAUCUUUAGACACCUUUCCCUAUAUGAGCGCAGCAAAUCUAGUCAUGCUCAAACUCCACAGCCUUGCCCCCCAAAACAAAAGAUCAGUUCGUUAUAGAUGUGCGUACUGCGUUUGUCAUUGUUUUCCCUUUUCGACCAACGUAGGUGCUGGAUAGCCAGUCUGUACUAGUACUUUCCCCACUUCCUUUCCACUGUGAACCACGUCCUAGAUUUAUGCUAUACAACUUUCCCCACAACUUUCCCCCAUUCCUGUCCUUUUUGAACCACGUCUUAGAUUCAUGCGAUACAACUUUCCUCACAACUUUCCCCCUUCCUUUCCUUUUUGAACCACGUCCUAGAUUCAUGCUAUACAACUUUUCCCACUACUUUCCCCCAUUCCUUUCCUCUUUGAACCACGUCCUAGAUUCAUGGUAUACAACUUUCCCCACUACUUUCCUGUUUGAUCCAACACCUAGAUUCGAGUGCAGAAGCGGAAAAACCCACAUGCAGCUAGAGCAAUGCAUGUGGAAUAAGUAAAUUAUACCUUAAGGUUCUUAGGGUGUGGUUCGGUGGGCGACCGGAGGCAGUUCGACCGUGACCGGAGGCAGUUCGACCCACACUAUGUACGGCGGCGAAGAAGAAGGGGUCGGAGGCCCUCCAGCGCCGCCACUGGGUGAAAGUGAACAGCUGCGCUUGUAGUGGAUUCCCUCCCUCGCCGACGGCGACAGCGUUAAGCCUCCUUCCCUUCCCGGCGGACGGCUCUUUGACCAGCAGUGAGGGGAGAGAGAGAGGCCAGCGAAGUCUUGUUUAGAUAUGGAGAGGGUGAGAGAGUGUGAAGAGAGCAACUACAAGCAGACCAACAGUGAGGGGAGAGAGAGAGGCGAACGAAGUCCUGUUUAGAUCUGGAGAGGGUGAGAGAGUGUGAAGAGAGCAACUACAAGCGCUGAGGCUCCAUCGUGUAUAUAUAUACUGGAGAGAGUGUGAAGAGGGCAAACUGUCGUGGUACUAAGACUGACAGUAGAAUAGGGGGGUAGUAUGGAGAGGCAACAUCCUAGCUAUGGCGAAGUUGUACACACGAGUUUUACGAGUUCAGGCCCUUCUUAGAAGAAGUAACAGCCCUACGUCUCGGAGCCCGGAGGCGGUCGACUGGAUUAUGCGUAUGUGUGUUUACAGGGGUGCUAACCCUUGUGCAUGUGGAGGGGGGUGGCUUAUAUAGAGUGCGCCAGGACCCCAGCCAGCCCACGUUACUAAGGGUUUAAGGUGCAUCAAGAGGGGGGCGUUACUGGUAACGCUAGUAAUAAGGAGUCUUAAUGAUCAUUAAAGCUAUGGUGUAAUGUCCGAUCGUUGCAGUGCGGAUUGGCUUUAGACCUUCUGGCGGUCGAGUGACUGUCUUCACGGUCGAGUGACUUUGAGUCUUUCGAGUGGAAUGCUUCGUGGUCGAGUGGAUGGUGACUCCUCUUCGAAUGCUUCUGGUUUUAGGGUGAUGACCUUGGGAAGGGUGUCUAGGUCAGGCCUAUGACCCUACCCUAGGUACAUAGCUUCAUCAUUAGCCACCGAAUGGAUCAUGGUUUGAGUGAAGAAGGAGUUGGAAAUACUUCCGAUUCACUUUUCGCGCUUCGAAUGUGUCUUGUUUGGAUCGACGGACCAACAUGAUGACACCAACUUCUUUUUCAGUCGCCUUGGUCCAUUCCUGGUUUUGUCGAGUGAACUUUUGCUGAAAGAGCUUCGAGUGUUAAUAUGGAGAAGAUCUUCCGUCUGACAGGUUGUUCUGCUAUCAGCAGAUCUUGCGGGAUUUGAAUUUUGGGAAGCGUGCGGGGCGGAGGAGGCCGCAGUAAUCGGGCUGGAUAAGGCAGGGUCACCUCGAUCUCCAUGCCACCUUUUUCGCCACGUAUCGCGCGCGCGACUGUUGCGGGAUUUGAUAAGAUCGUCCGGGCCUACAGGCCAGUCACUCGGAAGCAACCUCAUAUAAGGCGUCAGACCGGGGUUUUUUGAACAGUGCGCUCCCAUUCUUCUUCCUUCCUCUCAGUUUUCCCACUGCGUCCGCUCCUGCUCCAGCGCCGCCGCUCCGUUCGAGCUCUGUCUGUCGCGAUGGGGAAAGAGAAGACGGAGGCCCUGGAACGCGCAAAGAAGACGACGGCGAAGGCGAAGGGGAAGAAGACCAGCCGGGGCGGAUCCUCGUCGAGGUCCGGUCUGCCGCGCUGCUGGAUCCAGGGCGACUGGAUCCGGUCGACGAUCCGCCAGGACGACAUCGACGAUCUGGCGGACGAGGGACUGAUUCCCCACGGAUCUGCACGGCUUCCGGGGAAUGAGACUGAGCCUCGACCGCAGGAGGGUGAAUGCGUCCUCCUCGCCACUCACAUCGACCGCGGGUUUUCUUUGCCUCCGCACACCUUUUUCCGAGCUUUCUUGAACUUCUUUGGGGCACAACUUCAUCACUUUUCCCCCAACACCAUCGUGUAUCUUGCUGCUUUCGUGUCUCUGUGCAAAAAUUUAUUGGGUUGUUGACCACACUGGGGCCUCUUCAAGCACAUUUUCACGUGUCGUUCCCAGUCGGUCAAAAAGGCCAAUCCGAGUGAUGAGAAGACAAAAGUUAUCCAGAUGUGUGGGGGUCUUGGAAUUCAAAUGAGGGGGUAAGAGCUCUUUCCCAGCCAUAAUUCUUCCCAAGUCAGUCCGAGGGUGGCAGUCGACAUGGUUUUACUGCAAAGACCAGCCGACUCCAGGACAGUCGACUGGACUUCCCCCUUUUUCCAUGGCUCGCGUGGAGAAGCCCUCCGCCUUGAAAGUGACCCCGGGGGAGAAAGCGGAGGUGAAGGUGCUGGUCGAGAGAGUGGUCUACCUCAUCCGUGAGGGCGUGACCAGCAUGGAUCUGCGGGAAGUCUUCCUCAAACGACGUAUUCAACCACUUCAGGCCCGUGACCAUCCGAUGUGGAUGUAUUCGGGCAUUGAAGAUUCCACUCGGAUACAUCCAGAAGAAGUCGACGAGGGCACGGUGGAGUAGUGGUUGAGGGUUAUCACUGGCACCAAAGGUAACCCCGGGGGGCCAGGAGAAUCCCUCCACUCGACCGAUCCUAUGAACCAGACAAGGUCCAACUCCGAAUUCCCGAGUGUUAUCUUGAUUUAUCAUGCAAUUGUGUAUGGUCCACUGACUGAUUUUGUCUUGCUUGUUUUCUUCCAGGCCCUUACUGAGAUGUAUUCGAUGCCCAACCGAGAGCAGGAGCAGGACCCGAAAGGGGAGGCAAGCAGAGGUGAAAGCGGCGAGUGGCAUUCUGACGGCGAAGGGGAUGAGGAGAGCGAUGACCCGAGUGAUGAAGAAGAGGUCGACUCACCUCCCCGCAGGGAAAGGUGGUCCAAGCUCACCCACGAUCCAGCAAGCGCUCGCGACAAGGCGACCGUUCAGACCGGGCAGUCGUCAAAGCAUCCUCGGACGUCGUCUCCGGCGCCGACUGAAAAGGCCCCGAAGCAGUCCAAGGUUGUAGUGCAGAAGACCCGGAAAGCGCUGCCCAGAAUCAAAAUUGACAUUCCUGUUGCCUCUGCAUGAGUGUCUUGUCUUCAUUUUACCCGAAGUUUUGUGCUGUCCAUUUUUCCUUGAUUUGACCGAAUGAAUCUUGAAACUAGCAGUGCCGCUACCUCUGGGACCUCUGCUUAUAAAAACGAGGAUGAGGACAUGGAAGAUGCGGUCACCUCCAACGCAGGUAUAAUCUUUGUGAUCUUGUCUUAGCUUUGUCGAUUGAACUGCGAUAUAAUCAAUAGGGGAUGAAAUUUCGACGACUGAUCUUUUUACAGCUCCUCUCAACGUCAUUGACCUCCCCGACGAUGACGAGGACGAGCCACAGAGGCCCUUGGGGAGAAGAAACAGGAAAACGUCUGCUAGCAAGACGCCUUAGUCGACGCCGGUGGCGGAACCGGUAAUUCAGGACGCCGGCGAUGCCAAUCGGACUUCUAUCUCCUUCGCUAUAACGUUGUCGAGUGCUCAGCCUUCAGCGUCAGCCGCACAGGCUCCCGCCGAUCCACCAUCACUUUUUGCUGCACAUUACGUCCCAGAGGACCAGGUGGGUGCUGCAAAAGAGGCUAUACGCCAGGCGGGCAUUAUGAUGGAGAAAAUGAAGAUGGUGCGGGAAGCCAGCCAAGCUGCUUAUGAUGCCAGUUCCGCUCUCCAGAGCAACGUCCAGGUUAGUGGGCUGUCGACUGACUCUUUUGGCUUGUUCUGUUAGGAUAUGGUACCCGAAAACUUUCUUUCCUAGAACCUUUUCAUCUGUCUGCGCUUCGCAUCUAUUCACCCAGUGGGUGUGUUGAUUUGCCACUGAGCAAACUCUCACUUUGAGCUGACUAUGUUGUUGUCGAUUGAUACUUUGAACCAGUGGGGGCACGAUGAGUGCACCCACUGGGUGUAGUCCCCGAGACCAUAGUUGACUGCGGGCAGUCGACUGUUGUGACGCCCCCGAUUUGACCGUACACUAAUCAUGCACGCAAAUGUGUACGAUCACGAUCAGGGACUCACGGGAAGAUAUCACAACACAACUCUACAUCAUAAAUAAGUCAUACAAGCAUUAUAAUACAAGCCAGGGGCCUCGAGGGCUCGAAUACAAUUGCUCGAUCAUAGACGAGUCAGCGGAAGCAACAAUAUCUGAGUACAGACAUAAGUUAAACAAGUUUGCCUUAAGAAGGCUAGCACAAAAGUAGCAACGAUCGAAAAGGCAAGGCCUCCUGCCUGGGACCUCCUAACUACUCCUGGUCGUCGUCAGCGGCCUGCACGUAGUAGUAGGCACCUCCAGUGUCGUAGGUGUCGUCGUCGACGGUGGCGUCUGGCUCCUGGACUCCAAUAUCUGGUUGCGACAAUCAGAUAGAUAGGAAGGGGGGAAAGAGGGAGAGAAGCAACCGUGAGUACUCAUCCAAAGUACUCGCAAGCAAGGAGCUACACUACAUAUGCAUGGGUAUAUGUGUAAAGGGGCAUAUCACUGGACUGAACUGCAGAAUGCCAGAAUAAAAGGGGGAUAGCUAGUCCUGUCGAAGACUACGCUUCUGGUCAUCUCCAUCCUGCAGCAUGUAGAAGAGAGUAGAUUGAAGUCCUCCAAGUAGCAUCGCAUAGCAUAAUCCUACCCGGCAAUCCCCUCCUCGUCGCCCUGUUAGAGAGCGAUCACCGGAUUGUAUCUGGCACUUGGAAGGGUGUAUUUUAUUCAGUAUCCAGUUCUAGUUGUCAUAAGGUCAAGGUACAACUCCGGGUCGUCCUUUUACCGAGGGACACGGCUAUUCGAAUAGAUAAACUUCCCUGCAGGGGUGCACCACAUAACCCAACACGCUCGAUCCCAUUUGGCCGGACACACUUUCCUGGGUCAUGCCCGGCCUCGUAAGAUCAACGCGUCGCAGCCCCACCUAAGCACAACAGAGAGGUCAGCACGCCGGUCUAACCCUAUGCGCGCAGGGGUCUGGGCCCAUCGCCCUAUGCACACCUACACGUUGCGUACGCGGCCGGAAGCAGACCUAGCCUAGUGGCGUUCCAGUCCAAUCCGGCGCGCGCCACUCAGUCGCUGACGUCAAGAAGGCUUCGGCUGAUACCACGACGCCGGGAUACCCAUAACUACUCCCGCGUAGAUGGCUAGUGCGUAUAGACCAAAUGGCCAGACUCAGAUCAAAUACCAAGAUCUCGUUAAGCGUGUUAAGUAUCCGCGAACGCCGACCAGGGCCAGGCCCACCUCUCACCUAGGCGGUCUCAACCUGCCCUGUCGCUCCGCCACAAAGAUCCACUUGCGGGUACUCCUACGAGCCGACCCGACUUUAGUCAUCACAUGUGUCAUGUAUAUAGUAUAUAAGUAUAUACCCGUGAUCACCGCCCAGGUGAUCACGGCCCGAUAGUAUAGCACAGCAGACGGACAAGAAUGUAGAGCCACUGAUGGAAAACUAGCAUCCUAUACUAAGCAUGUAGGAUUGCAGGUAAAGGUAUCAACAGUAGUAGCAAGGAUAGGCUAUGCAUCAGGAUAGGAUAUCGAAAAGCAGUAACAUGCUACACUACUCUAAUGCAAGCAGUAUAGAGAAGAAUAGGCGAUAUCUGGUGAUCAAGGGGGGGGCUUGCCUGGUUGCUCUGGCAAGUAGGAGGGGUCGUCGACUCCGUAGUCGAACUGGGCAGCAGCAGUGUCGGUCUCGUAGUCUACCGGAGAGAAGAGGGGGAAGAAACAGUAAAUACAAUGCAAACAUAAGCAUGACGAUGCGUGACAUGACAAUGAGCGGUGCUAGGGGUGUCCUAACGCGACAGUAGGUGGUACCGGUGAAGGGGGGGAACAUCCGGGAGGUAUUCCCGAUGUUUCGCGUUUUCGGACAGACGGACCGGAGGGGGAAAGUUGCUAGUUCGAUGGGUUAGGGAGGUGUGGUUGCCGAACGGACUGCGUAUCCGGAUUCGUCUCGUCGUUCUGAGCAACUUUCAUAUAGAAAACAUUUUCAUCCGAGUUACGGUUUAAAAGAUAUGAAUUUUCAAAGUUUAUUUGAAUUUCUGGAAUUAUUUUUAUUCAGCAAAAAUGAAUUAUGACGUCAGCAUGAGGCAAUGCUGACGUCAGCAGGUCAACAGGUCGGCUAACCAGUCAAACCAGACAGGUGGGUCCAGUGGGACCCACAUGUCAGCCUCUGUUAGUCUAAUACUUAAUUAAACUAAUCUAACAGUAUAAUUAGAGGGGUGGGCCCCAUAUGUCAGUGAGUGAUUAGUUAAAAUAAUUAUUUUUAUUUAUAAAACAUUUUCUUUUUCUUUUUUUUUAAUUUUGCGGCGGGGCCUGCAUGUCAGUGACUGGGCCUGCCCAGUCAGCAGUUGACUGGGUCAACCCAGUCAACUGGGGCCCGUGGGGGCCACUGGCAGGGGCACUGGGGUGGCCCCAGGCCAGCCACGUCGGCGGCCGGCGCCGGAGCAACGCCAGCGACCAAACGCACGGCGGCGCGGCUCGGGAGGGGUACGGGUUUCAUGUACAGGGGGUCUUCGGGGGCGUGGCUGGGCGCGUUCGACGCGGCUCAGCGUCGCGCGUCCAACGGCGGUGGCCGGAGGGGCUAGAACGGGCGGGGGCGAGCGCUACGAGCUCGCCGGCGGCGAGGUGCUACGGGUGUCCGACGGAUGCUGCGUUAGAGCGCGCGAACGGCCGAAAUAACUACCUAGGGGGGUGCGGCACGACGCGGUCGAGCUAGCGGGCCUACGCCCGUGACCAUUUGGUCACCGGAGACCCGCCGGCGGCGAGCUCCGCGGCGCGGCGUUCGGGCGCGCGUGGGGGAGCAGCUACGGAGCGCGGGCGAGCUAACGGAGAGGGGGAGGAGAGGGAGAGGCUCACUGCGAGGCUGUAGGGGGACGGCAGCGUGCUCGGGGAGGCUCGAGGCGGCGAAACGGGGCGGCGAUCGACGGCGGCCGUGCGGGGAAGAAGAGCUCGGUGCGGUCGGUGCAGUAGCUCCAAGCUCCAACGGAGAGGCGGAGGUGACGUAGUCGAGGGCGGCGACGGCGUACGACACGGCGAGGUGGCGUUUGGGGCACGGUGGCCGCGGGAACUACGGUGAGCGGCGGCGAGCGCGCUCGGGCAGAGGGGAACGAAGGGAAGAGGGAGGUGGAUCUGGCGGGGGGAGAGGCGCAGAGGCCGAGGGACGAGCGGGGCGAGUGGGAGAGAGGCCCGAGGAGGCGGGGGAGCUGGCGCCCUUAUCCUCCCCGUCGCCGGCGAGGGGGUGCGGCGGGGACGGCCACUGUUCNNNNNNNNNNNNNNNNNNNNNNNNNNNNNNNNNNNNNNNNNNNNNNNNNNNNNNNNNNNNNNNNNNNNNNNNNNNNNNNNNNNNNNNNNNNNNNNNNNNNNNNNNNNNNNNNNNNNNNNNNNNNNNNNNNNNNNNNNNNNNNNNNNNNNNNNNNNNNNNNNNNNNNNNNNNNNNNNNNNNNNNNNNNNNNNNNNNNNNNNNNNNNNNNNNNNNNNNNNNNNNNNNNNNNNNNNNNNNNNNNNNNNNNNNNNNNNNNNNNNNNNNNNNNNCUUUUUUUUCUUUUUCUCUGACUGUGUUCUGUUUUCUUUUUAUUUGUUUAUUUUCUUUUCUGUUUUAUUUCAUUUAAAAGUAUUUAGGUAUUUUAUAAAAAUGUGUUUUCUCCACCGUAAUUACCAGUGUAUUAUUUAGCACCCACCGAACAUUUUUGUUAGAGUUUUUGAAAACUUUUAUUUUCCACUUUUAAAUUUAAUUGAAGUUUGAACUAGGAGUUUGAAAAGGGUGUGAUUCAAAUGUGAUCAAGCCCUGUUUAGCAACAUGAUUAGCUUAACCACUGGGAGUUACUGUAGCAUGAUUCUCAGGGUGUUACAAAUCUCCUCCACUACAAGAAAUCUCGUCCCGAGAUUUAGGAGGUAGAAGGAAACAGUGCGGGGUAUUCUUCGCGCAGACGAUCCUCUCGUUCCCAAGUGGCCUCAUCUUCAGAAUGGUGCGACCACUGGACUUUGAGAAACUUGAUCGCCUUCUGACGUGUGCGGCGUUCAUCUUGGUCGAGAAUGCGGACCGGAUGCUCCUUAUAGGAGAGGUCUUGCUGCAAUUCGAGCACUUCAUGAUCCACAGCUCGGAUUGGAUCCUAGAAGCAACGGCGGAGCUGUGACACAUGGAACACAUCGUGAACCUGAGAAAGGUUCGGCGGUAGCUCCAGUUGGUAUGCCACUUUUCCACGCCUUUCGAGAAUAGUGAAUGGGCCAAUAUAGCGAGGAGCUAGUUUGCCCUUGAUCCCGAAGCGGUGAGCACCCUUCAUAGGUGUGACUCGAAGAUAAGCCUUUUCGCCAGGUUGAUAGACCAUGUCUUUAUGAUGACGGUCAUACUGACUCUUCUGACGUGACUGAGCAGUCUUGAGAUUCUCGCGAAUAAUGCGGACUUGUUCUUCGGCAUCUUGGAUAAUAUCCGGACCGAAGACUUGACGUUCCCCAGUUUCUGACCAGUUCAGAGGGGUUCGGCACUUUCGUCCAUAUAACACUUCGAAGGGGGCCAUCUUCAGACUAGCUUGAUAACUAUUAUUAUAAGAGAACUCAGCAUACGGGAGAGAUUCCUCCCAUUUCUUGCCGAAGGAAAUAACGCAAGCUCGAAGCAUGUCUUCGAGAACUUGAUUGACGCGUUCAACUUGUCCUUGCGAUUGAGGAUGAAACGCAGUACUGAAUGACAGAUGAGUUCCCAUUGCUUCUUGGAAACUUGCCCAGAAUCUUGAAGUGAAUAAGCUACCACGGUCUGAACUGAUAACCAAUGGAAUACCGUGGAGUGAGACAAUCCUGGACAUAUAGAGCGUUGCCAACUGGCUAGCAGUGAUCGUUUCUUUGACCGCCAGGAAAUGUGCAACUUUGGAAAGCCGGUCAAUGACGACAAGAAUAGCAUCAUUACCCUUUUGUGAUUUGGGAAAUCCAGUGACGAAGUCCAUCUCAACAUGGUCCCAUUUCCAUUCAGGAAUAGAGAUAGGUUGCAGAGUUCCAGCAGGCCUUUGAUGUUCUGCUUUGAUACGACGGCAAACGUCACACUCAGCAACAUAACGAGCAAUGUCUUGCUUCAUAUUAGUCCACCAGAAUCUCUGACGGAUAUCUUGGUACAUCUUUGUACUACCAGGAUGGAUACAUAGAGGCGUAUCAUGAGCUUCUUUCAUAACUUCCUGUGUCAUAUCCAGGUUUUUCUCUGCACAUGGCACCACUAGGCGGCCCUUGAAGUAUAGGGUGCCAUCUUCAGAAAUGGUGAAGAAUGAGGGCUUUCCUUCUGCGAGGUAGCGCUUAAUCUUGUGGGCUUCAGAGUCAUACUUCUGUAGCCUUUUGAUGCUGUCCUCGAGAUCUGGUUUAGCAACUAGGGUAUUGAGGGAACCCUGGGCAACAACGUGGAGGUUCACCUUGCCAAAUUCCUUAGGAGGGGGGGCGAGUGCACCCGGAGGAACAAUAUGGAGGUUCAGCUUCCUGAAUUCGUCAACAAGCGAGGGCUGAACUUUAUGAACCUGGAGGUGGUUGCAGUAAGACUUGCGGCUCAAGGCAUCAGCCAUUACAUUAGCCUUGCCUGGCGUAUAGGAAAUGCCCAAGUCAAAGUCUGCAACGAGCUCCAUCCUUCUCUGCUGACGGAGGUUCAGAUCUGGCUGAGUAAACAGAUACUUCAGACUUUGGUGGUCAGUGAAGAUCUCGCAACGAUUACCGAGAAGGUAAUGUCGCCACUGCUUCAGCGCAUGAAUGACAGCAGCAAGUUCGAGGUCGUGAACUGGGUAGUUCUCUUCGUGAGGGCGCAAUUGUCGAGAGGCAUCAGCAAUCACUUUGCGGUCUUGCAUUAGGACACAGCCUAAUCCUUGACGGGAAGCGUCGCAAUAGAUGACGAAGUCCUUCUUAGUAUCAGGUGGAGCUAGAACUGGGGCAGAAGUCAACUUGUCUUUGAGUGCCUGGAAACUUUCCUGACAUUUGUCUGUCCAUUGGAACUUGACGCCCUUAUGUAACAGGUUAGUCAGAGGCCUGGCGAUCUUGGAGAAGUUCUCGACAAAUCGACGGCAAUAGCUGGCGAGACCGAGAAAACUUCUGACUUGCUUAACGUUCUUGGGAGGAGUCCAAUCAAGAAUAGCCUGAACUCGCUCGGGGUUGACGGCAAUACCAUCCUUAGAGAUGACAUGCCCAAGAUAGGUUACUUCCGGUAGCCAGAAUUCACAUUUGGAGAACUUGGCAUAUAGUUGAUGUUCUCGUAGCUUUUCCAGCACAAGUCGAAGAUGUUCCGCAUGUUCUUCUUCGUUCUUGGAAAAUAUCAGGAUAUCAUCCAGAUAAACCACGACGAACUUGUCGAGGUAAUCCAUGAAUAUGUAGUUCAUCAGACGAAAGAAGGUGGCUGGAGCAUUGGUUAAACCGAAAGACAUGACGGUGUACUCGUAUGAACCAUAGCGAGUCACGAAGGCGGUCUUUUGGAUAUCCUCUUCGCGAACACGGAUCUGGUGGUAGCCCAACCUCAAGUCGAGCUUAGAGAACACUGACGAACCCGCCAGUUGAUCAUACAGGUCAUUGAUCCGAGGAAGAGGGUAUUUAUUCUGAAUGGUAGCUUGGUUUAUAGGACGGUAGUCUUGAACUAACCGGUUUGUCCCAUCCUUCUUCUUGACAAAGAGAGAAGGUGCUCCCCAAGGAGAGCAACUUGGGCGAAUGAAUCCUUUGCGAAGAGACUUGUCGAUUUCCUCCUUAAGCUCAAGGAGUUCAUGCGGCGGCAUUUUGUAGGGUCGCUUGGCUAUAGGAGUGGUGCCUGGUUUCAAGUCGAUGAUGAAUUCGACAGCUCUAGCAGGGGGAAUCCCUGGAAGUUCUUCAGGGAAGACGUCGAGGAAUUCACGCACGACGGGAAUGUUUUCAAUGCCCUCGAGUGGUGCAGCGUUCAAUGCAUUCAAUGCAUAGAGCCUUGCCUCGGCAUUUUGCACCAGAUGAGCUUGGUAAGCAACUAUUUCAUCUGAAGGGUGUAGCAGAUGGACGGUUUUAGUGGCGCAAACUAUAGAAGCAGUAUGCGCUUUCAACCAAUCCAUACCCAAAAUGAGGUCGAUGUUAGACGACUUCAGGAUAAUGGGAGAGGCAUAGAAUUCCAGCCCUUCGAUUUCCACGGGGACAUCAAUGCCAACCAAGGAGGUUUGACACUGUCCCACGGGGUUUUUGACCAAUACAGAGGUGUUCAUCUCCUCACAUUUAACGUCGUGCUUGUAUGCAAAAUCUUCUGACAUGAAUGAAUGCGAUGCACCUGUAUCAAAUAAAAUGGAUGCUGGUACUGAAUUUACGAGGAGUGUACCCAUCACAGUAGCAGGCUGGUCUUGAGCUUCGUUGAGAUCAACGUGGUUGGCAUGAGCACGACCAUAAGACUUAGCAUUGUUGUUGCGGGGCUGAUUGUUACCACGGCCAGUUGCUGGAAGGGCCAGUUGAUUCUGGUUUUGGUUGCAUUCUUUAGCACGGUGUCCUGGUUGACCACACCUGAAGCACAAGCCAUUAUUCGGAGUGGGAACAGGAGCUUGGGAUGGUGGAGCUGGAAGUCUUGACUGCCUGGACGGUGGUGGAGGCAGACGAGGGGCAGCAUAGGCAUGCCUUGGGGCUGAUGCAUUUGGACGGUACAUGCUGUUCGGGAUCCAUAUCUUACGCUUCUGUGCGGGCGAACCCGAAGAUGAGCCCGUGUCACGGUUGCGCCUGUGAGAGCUCUGGUAUUCCUGCAGACCAGUUUCGACAUUGAUGGCCUUGUUCACCAAGGUGGCGAAAUCAGCAAAGUGAUGCACUAGAAGUGCGAGCUUGAUGUCAGCUUGAAGGCCAUCACGGAACUUCUCCUGUCUGCGUGCAUCAGUUGCAAUGUCUUCUUCAGCAUAGCGGGACAAGUCCAGAAACUCCCGCUGAUAAGCUUCGACAGAUUUGUUGCCUUGGGUGAGGUUGCGGGACUCACGCUUCUUCCUGUCCAUGACUCCUUGAGGAAUGAAGCGGGCACGGAAAGCAGCUUGGAAGUCUGGCCAGGUGAUGAUUGUUCCAGCUGGCAGAGUACGCCUGUGGCUGUCCCACCAUUGAGCUGCGGGUCCCUUCAGAAAGAAGGAAGCAAAAUUGACAUAGCUGGCAGGGGCUACAUCAGCAGACUCCAACUCAUAGGUGAUGUCACGGAGCCAGUCAUCAGCAUCCAGAGGCUGAGUUGAGCUGCGGUAGAUGGUUGGGUUGAGGCGUAUGAAAUCUUGAAGAGUCACUUGAGCUGGCUGCUGGUUCAUAUUGGGGCGAGGGAACUGAGCCAUCAUAUUUUCCAUGAAUUGGCGGUUCAGUUCAAACUGUUGGAUCAUACCAGCCAUGUACUCAGGUGGUGGUGGGGCAUCGCCACCACGACCACGACCACCUGGUCUAACCAUCCUGCUAAUAUAUAACAGGGGUAGUUCAGCACUGAGAAAUAUUUGCAAAGACAAGAAUCAUUCAAGAUGAAACAUGCAUAACGAAAGGAGCACGAUAGCUACUUCAUAGUAGUCGGCAUGACUUACAAAAGGGGGUCAUGCAUAUAGUUCUGUACAUAGACUAAAACAUCAUAGGCGGCACACAGGCUCGCGGCGAAUGCAUCUAACACUGCAAGCAAGCCUACAUCAGUCCCAAGAGGUACUGUGGAGGUAAUCGUAGCCCGACAGCUGGUAGUGAGGCAACGGAUAGCCCUCCACGUCAGCAGACUGGGGGCCGCGGAUACUCAGGUGUAGAGCCCGACGCUCAGGUGGCAGAAGAGGGCCAAGUGCGGGAGAGUAGCCUCCCACCUCUGGCCAACCGACACCGUGGGGCAUCACGGUCCUGGCUGGGUAGAUCGCAGUACGCGGUACCUGUCCAGAUCGGACAAAGGGGUGCAACAGCGUCAGAGCACGGUAAAGGUGCUGAUGGGUGGUGUACAUCUCGUGGCGAAGAGCUCGGUUAGCUCGAUCCAGCCCAUCAGCAUGCAGAACCAGGUGCUGAUGGUAGAAGGGCUCUCGGGUGACAGUGGAGUAGGCAGCAGUAUAGUAUCCCUCCGCACCAACAUCAGAGGCGAUAGCAAUGUGCCUGAAAGGGGAGGUGUCCAACUCCUGAUACUCUCCACGAAGACGUGUCAGAGCAGCAUAGGCAGCAUCGUGGACAGCCAUAUCGGUGGUCACACCAACACCAUGUGCGGUGUGCAGCACAGUAGUGGAGUCGUACUCCCGAGAGUAGAGGUGGACGAUGGCACGGUACUGCUCCUGGUUAAAGUCCUGGUACUCCUUGUAGACGGUGUACUCAGGGUGCCAGCGAUAACCCAGAUAGGUCAUCAUCUCAGCUAGCACCGCAGGUGAUCCCGAGGCACCAAUGGCCGUCGUGUGACGAACGACCUGCCUCGUGGGUUCCAUCUGAAAGCAAAGAUGUUUCAAAGGAGUCAAAUGACAGUGUGUGAAUUGUUCGAUAUACUAUUCUAGGAAACAACUAUGUCUUAUCCAACUUUGGGUGAAUGUGGUCACGGGAUCCUAGUGUUAAAGUUAGUAAAUUCGUUUAACCCGAGUAGAAGAGAGUUCAGAGUCCCAGAGUAAAGGUCGAGGAGUAAAAGAUCCUAGUACCACCCAAUGGCGACGUGGGCCCGUAAGACACACAGCCAUGUUAGUAAAAGUUUUGUAAUGUCUAGACUCGACUUCGGCCAAGGAGUGUGGAUAGGGGGAUUCCUACAGGCAGUCGGCUCUGAUACCAACUUGUGACGCCCCCGAUUUGACCGUACACUAAUCAUGCACGCAAAUGUGUACGAUCACGAUCAGGGACUCAUGGGACGAUAUCACAACACAACUCUACAUCAUAAAUAAGUCAUACAAGCAUUAUAAUACAAGCCAGGGGCCUCGAGGGCUCGAAUACAAUUGCUCGAUCAUAGACGAGUCAGCGGAAGCAACAAUAUCUGAGUACAGACAUAAGUUAAACAAGUUUGCCUUAAGAAGGCUAGCACAAAAGUAGCAACGAUCGAAAAGGCAAGGCCUCCUGCCUGGGACCUCCUAACUACUCCUGGUCGUCGUCAGCGGCCUGCACGUAGUAGUAGGCACCUCCAGUGUCGUAGGUGUCGUUGUCGACGGUGGCGUCUGGCUCCUGGACUCCAAUAUCUGGUUGCGACAAUCAGAUAGAUAGGAAGGGGGGAAAGAGGGAGAGAAGCAACCGUGAGUACUCAUCCAAAGUACUCGCAAGCAAGGAGCUACACUACAUAUGCAUGGGUAUAUGUGUAAAGGGGCAUAUCACUGGACUGAACUGCAGAAUGCCAGAAUAAAAGGGGGAUAGCUAGUCCUGUCGAAGACUACGCUUCUGGUCAUCUCCAUCCUGCAGCAUGUAGAAGAGAGUAGAUUGAAGUCCUCCAAGUAGCAUCGCAUAGCAUAAUCCUACCCGGCAAUCCCCUCCUCGUCGCCCUGUUAGAGAGCGAUCACCGGAUUGUAUCUGGCACUUGGAAGGGUGUAUUUUAUUCAGUAUCCAGUUCUAGUUGUCAUAAGGUCAAGGUACAACUCCGGGUCGUCCUUUUACCGAGGGACACGGCUAUUCGAAUAGAUAAACUUCCCUGCAGGGGUGCACCACAUAACCCAACACGCUCGAUCCCAUUUGGCCGGACACACUUUCCUGGGUCAUGCCCGGCCUCGUAAGAUCAACGCGUCGCAGCCCCACCUAAGCACAACAGAGAGGUCAGCACGCCGGUCUAACCCUAUGCGCGCAGGGGUCUGGGCCCAUCGCCCUAUGCACACCUACACGUUGCGUACGCGGCCGGAAGCAGACCUAGCCUAGUGGCGUUCCAGUCCAAUCNNNNNNNNNNNNNNNNNNNNNNNNNNNNNNNNNNNNNNNNNNNNNNNNNNNNNNNNNNNNNNNNNNNNNNNNNNNNNNNNNNNNNNNNNNNNNNNNNNNNNNNNNNNNNNNNNNNNNNNNNCACUUGCGGGUACUCCUACGAGCCGACCCGACUUUAGUCAUCACAUGUGUCAUGUAUAUAGUAUAUAAGUAUAUACCCGUGAUCACCGCCCAGGUGAUCACGGCCCGAUAGUAUAGCACAGCAGACGGACAAGAAUGUAGGGCCACUGAUGGAAAACUAGCAUCCUAUACUAAGCAUGUAGGAUUGCAGGUAAAGGUAUCAACAGUAGUAGCAAGGAUAGGCUAUGCAUCAGGAUAGGAUAUCGAAAAGCAGUAACAUGCUACACUACUCUAAUGCAAGCAGUAUAGAGAAGAAUAGGCGAUAUCUGGUGAUCAAGGGGGGGGCUUGCCUGGUUGCUCUGGCAAGUAGGAGGGGUCGUCGACUCCGUAGUCGAACUGGGCAGCAGCAGUGUCGGUCUCGUAGUCUACCGGAGAGAAGAGGGGGAAGAAACAGUAAAUACAAUGCAAACAUAAGCAUGAUGAUGCGUGACAUGACAAUGAGCGGUGCUAGGGGUGUCCUAACGCGACAGUAGGUGGUACCGGUGAAGGGGGGGAACAUCCGGGAGGUAUUCCCGAUGUUUCGCGUUUUCGGACAGACGGACCGGAGGGGGAAAGUUGCUAGUUCGAUGGGUUAGGGAGGUGUGGUGGCCGAACGGACUGCGUAUCCGGAUUCGUCUCGUCGUUCUGAGCAACUUUCAUAUAGAAAACAUUUUCAUCCGAGUUACGGUUUAAAAGAUAUGAAUUUUCAAAGUUUAUUUGAAUUUCUGGAAUUAUUUUUAUUCAGAAAAAAUGAAUUAUGACGUCAGCAUGAGGCAAUGCUGACGUCAGCAGGUCAACAGGUCGGCUAACCAGUCAAACCAGACAGGUGGGUCCAGUGGGACCCACAUGUCAGCCUCUGUUAGUCUAAUACUUAAUUAAACUAAUCUAACAGUAUAAUUAGAGGGGUGGGCCCCAUAUGUCAGUGAGUGAUUAGUUAAAAUAAUUAUUUUUAUUUAUAAAACAUUUUCUUUUUCUUUUUUUUAAUUUUGCGGCGGGACCCGCAUGUCAGUGACUGGGCCUGCCCAGUCAGCAGUUGACUGGGUCAACCCAGUCAACUGGGGCCCGUGGGGGCCACUGGCAGGGGCACUGGGGUGGCCCCAGGCCAGCCACGUCGGCGGCCGGCGCCGGAGCAACGCCGGCGACCAAACGCACGGCGGCGCGGCUCGGGAGGGGUACGGGUUUCACGUACAGGGGGUCUUCGGGGGCGUGGCUGGGCGCGUUCGACGCGGCUCGGCGUCGCGCGUCCAACGGCUGUGGCCGGAGGGGCUGGAACGGGCGGGGGCGAGCGCUACGAGCUCGCCGGAGGCGAGGUGCUACGGGUGUCCGACGGAUGCUGCGUUAUAGCGCGCGAACGGCCGAACUAACUACCUAGGCGGGUGCGGCACGACGCGGUCGAGCUAGCGGGCCUACGCCCGUGACCAUUUGGUCACCGGAGACCCGCCGCCGGCGAGCUCCGCGGCGCGGCGUUCGGGCGCGCGUGGGAGAGCAGCUACGGAGCGCGGGCGAGCUAACGGAGAGGGGGAGGAGAGGGAGAGGCUCACUGCGAGGCUGUAGGGGGACGGCAUCCUGCUCGGGGAGGGUCGAGGCGGCGAAACGGGGCGGCGAUCGACGGCGGCCGUGCGGGGAAGAAGAGCUCGGUGCGGUCGGUGCAGUGGCUCCAAGCUCCAACGGAGAGGCGGAGGUGACGUAGUCGAGGGCGGCGACGGCGUACGACACGGCGAGGUGGCGUUUGGGGCACGGUGGCCGCGGGAACUACGGUGAGCGGCGGCGAGCGCGCUCGGGCAGAGGGGAACGAAGGGAAGAGGGAGGUGGAUCUGGCGGGGGGAGAGGCGCAGAGGCCGAGGGACGAGCGGGGGCGAGUGGGAGAGAGGCCCGAGGAGGCGGGGGAGCUGGCGCCCUUAUCCUCCCCGUCGCCGGCGAGGGGGUGCGGCGGGGACGGCCACUGUUCGNNNNNNNNNNNNNNNNNNNNNNNNNNNNNNNNNNNNNNNNNNNNNNNNNNNNNNNNNNNNNNNNNNNNNNNNNNNNNNNNNNNNNNNNNNNNNNNNNNNNNNNNNNNNNNNNNNNNNNNNNNNNNNNNNNNNNNNNNNNNNNNNNNNNNNNNNNNNNNNNNNNNNNNNNNNNNNNNNNNNNNNNNNNNNNNNNNNNNNNNNNNNNNNNNNNNNNNNNNNNNNNNNNNNNNNNNNNNNNNNNNNNNNNNNNNNNNNNNNNNNNNNNNNNNNNNNNNNNNNNNNNNNNNNNNNNNNNNNNNNNNNNNNNNNNNNNNNNNNNNNNNNNNNNNNNNNNNNNNNNNNNNNNNNNNNNNNNNNNNNNNNNNNNNNNNNNNNNNNNNNNNNNNNNNNNNNNNNNNNNNNNNNNNNNNNNNNNNNNNNNNNNNNNNNNNNNNNNNNNNNNNNNNNNNNNNNNNNNNNNNNNNNNNNNNNNNNNNNUGACUGUGUUCUGUUUUCUGUUUUCUUUUUAUUUGUUUAUUUUCUUUUCUGUUUUAUUUCAUUUAAAAGUAUUUAGGUAUUUUAUAAAAAUGUGUUUUCUCCACCAUAAUUACCAGUGUAUUAUUUAGCACCCACCGAACAUUUUUGUUAGAGUUUUUGAAAACUUUUAUUUUCCACUUUUAAAUUUAAUUGAAGUUUGAACUAGGAGUUUGAAAAGGGUGUGAUUCAAAUGUGAUCAAGCCCUAUUUAGCAACAUGAUUAGCUUAACCACAGGGAGUUAAUGUAGCAUGAUUCUCAGGGUGUUACAACUGUGGUCCGAGAAUCGGAUUUUUCCACUCGGCCUGGAUAUUCCACGUCGAGUGGAAACUGAAUCAGUGGGGGCACGCUAAGUGCACCCACUAGGUGUAGUCCCCGAGAUCAUGGUCGACUGCGGGCAGUCGACUAUGGUCUUAGUUUUUUUUUGCCUGGAUAUCCCACGUCGAGUGGAAACUGAAUCAGUGGGGGCACGCUAAGUGCAUCCACUGGGUGUAGUCCCCGAGACCGUGGUUGAUUGCGGGCAAUCGACUACGAUCUGAAAACAACUUGAAUUUGUCGAACUAUUGUUCUGAAGUAACUGAUCCUUCCAUCUGUCGAUUGACUGUCCCUUGAUUACAGAAAUCCUGUGAACUCGGAGUUCGUUUUGCUGAAUUGGAGAAAAAACAGAUUUGGCUCAAUCUCGAUCUGGAACUGGCCAAGACAAAUCUGCAGAAGGCCAAGGAUGAAGCUGCUAGUAAGAGAAAACUCGCCGACUGACUCGUCUGUAUGCCAGAUCUUAUUUUAAUUUUUCUGAACCGAACGUUGUUUCUUUUCAGAGAAAAUGAAUCAAGCUCUGGCGAAGAAGGACCAAGAUCUUGCGGCUGCACAGAAAGCAGCUGACGAGAAAACUGCACUCGCCGAACAGAAACUAGCUUCAGUCGGCAAAUUGGAGGAAGAAAACACCAUGCUGAAAACUGCUCUUGAUGAAGCCAAUAAGGAAGCGACCCGCCUGAAGAAGGACAAGAACAAUCUGAACGAGAAGAUGGAAGGUAUUGUUCACAGGAGGGACGACUUGGAGAAUUAUCUGGGAGGUCUUGCCAAGAAACUGUUCGUCAUGCUUGAAGGUAUUCUCUUUGACCCGACUGACUCGUUUCUGUCGACUCAACAUACAAUCACUGACCCAUCUUUGAAUUGUACGUGCAGAAUUUUGCCGGAACUUUGAAGAAGAAACUGGGCGAGUUGAGACAAGCUUCGACCCCAUCCAUUCUCCAGUUAAAGACGAGGCUGCCAUGAAUGCACUCCGAUUGGAAUCUCGUGUUGCGGGUGUUGUUGAGUACCUUACUCGACUGAAGGUCGCAAUGUCGCGGAUCAACACAGCACUCUCAGGGGCAACACUCCAGAAUGAUCUCGAGUCUCUGAUGACUCGACUUAAUGAGAUUCCCGGUCGAGUGCAAGAAUGGAAGAAGUCUUUUGCCCGAUGCGGCGCUGAUGUGGCCCUGUCUUUGGUUCGUGUUCACUGCAAGGAAGCGCGAGAAGAGAAGCUGGCAGCAAUCAAGGUUGCCAACACCAAGAGGCACGACUUCCAAUCCUUCAUGAAGACCUUCAUUGCUGCUGCCACUCGGAUCGCCGAUGGAAUUGACCUAGACGAAUUCGUCGAGCCUGCCAGCCCUCCUCCUGCGGAGUGAACAAACUCUUAUGCUCCACCUUAAAUUUGCCUCGGGAUGCCGAGUGAUUUUGUAACCGUUAAACUCCUUCGGGCUUGAUGCCCGAGUACUUUAAUCCGCGGUCGGAACUUUAGGAUUUAUCUAGAUUUGGUUUAUCUCCGAAUAUGUUUGUGCUUGCCUUCGAGUGGAACUUAUUCUUCACUUGGAAUAUUUUUGUACUUGAGAUGCAGCUCUGGGGAGGAGGUUCCAGUCGACCUGCACCUCGUCGUUCUUGCGGAUCGGAAUGGAGCGCACAUUGUACUUGUCGCGCCGCUCCGCAGGAGAAGGUUGCAGCCGACCUCCACCUCGUCGUUCUUGCGGAUCGGGAUGGAGCGCACAUUGUACUUGUGGCGCCGCUCCGCAAGAGAAGGUUGCAGUUGACCUGCACCUCGUCGUUCUUGCGGAUCGGGAUGGAGCGCACCUUGUACUUGUGGCGCCGCUCCACAGGAGAAGGUUGUAGUCGACCCUUUUAUACUUGUGACGACGAGGUGCAGGUCGAAUGCAACCUUCUCAUGCGGAGCGGCGCCACAAGUACAAUGUGUGCUCCAUCCCGGUCCGCAAGGACGACGAGGUGCAGGUCGACUGCAACCUCUCCUGUGGAGCGGCGCCACAAGUACAAUGUGCGCUCCAUCCCGAUCCGCAAGAACGACGAGGUGCAGGUCGACUGCAACCUUCUCAUGUGGAGUGGUGCCACAAGUACAAUGUGCGCUCCAUCUCGAUCCGCAAGAACGACGAGGUCCAGGUCGACUGGAACCUCCUCCCCAGAGCUGCAUCUCAAGUACAAAAAUGUUCCAAGUGAAGAAUAAGUUCCAUGCCAGAAACGUGAGAGGUCGACCAUUUAUCAGCUAGAGAGAUAAAUAUAAGCAACGACAAUCAUUCUUAGAAGGCUGUAAAACUCCUGUCUCUAAUAAACAAACUACAAAGGUAUUUCUUAUUACAACUCAACAGAAUGAGCUCUUAAGUAUAAAAGGGGCGGAGCAGCUCCGCAUUCCAAGCCCGUGGCUCGUCUUUCUGAUGUUCGACAUUGUAAAUAUGAUACACUCCAUUGUGAAGCACCCUGGUGACGAUGAAGGGACCUUCCCAGGCAGGGGCGAGCUUGUGUGGUUUCUGUUGAUCCACUCGAAGAACCAAGUCUCCCUCUUGAAACGCUCGACCUCUCAUGUUUCUGGCGUGGAAUCGGCGCAAGUCUAGCUGAUAAAUGGUUGACCGGAUUAAAGCCAUCUCUUUUUCCUCUUCUAGGAGAUCAACUGCAUCUUGCCGGGCCUGUUCCGCUUCAACUUCAGAGAAAAGCUCGACUCGGGGUGCGUUGUGAAGCAAGUCACUCGGUAGAACAGCUUCAGCUCCAUAGACCAAGAAGAAUGGAGUUCGGCUAGUCGACCGAUUGGGAGUUGUCCUUAAUCCCCAAAGAAUUGAAGGAAGUUCAUCGACCCAGGCGCCUGCUGCGUGCUUGAGAUCACGCAUCAAUCGGGGUUUCAGUCCUUUGAGAAUCAAGCCAUUUGCUCUUUCUGCUUGUCCAUUCGACUGGGGGUGGGCGACUGAAGCAUAGUCGACUCGAGUGCCUUGGGAAGCACAAAAAGCUCUGAACUCAUCAGAAUCGAAGUUCGAUCCAUUGUCAGUGAUGAUGUUGUGCGGAACCCCAUAUCUGAAUGUCAACUCUCUGAUGAAGCUGACGGCAGUACUGGCUUCAAGAUUAUUGAUAGGCUUGGCUUCAAUCCAUUUGGUAAACUUGUCAACUGCUACAAGCACAUGAGUGAAGCCGCUCCUACCAGUCCUCAGGGGCCCAACCAUAUCUAACCCCCAAACAGCAAAAUGCCAGACGAGUGGAAUGGUCUUCAGGGCCGAUGCAGGCUUGUGGGACAUGUUGGAGUAAAACUGGCAGCCUUCACAUUUGUCGACUAUAUCUUUCGCCAUUUCAUUUGCUCAUGGCCAAUAAAAUCCAGCUCGGUAUGCUUUGGCCACAAUGGUCCGAGAGGAUGCAUGGUGGCCACAGGUCCCCGAGUGGAUGUCGUUGAGGAUGACUCGACCUUCUUCUGGUGUUAUGCAUUUCUGGCUGACUCCAGUCACAUUUUCACUAAACAACUGUCCUCUUAUCACAGUAAAGGCUUUGGAUUGACGAACAAUCUGUCGGGCCUCCUCUUCAUCCUCUGGGAGUUCCUUCCUAAGGAUAUACGCAAUGUAUGGCACCGUCCAGUCAGGAGUUAUGACCAAAACCUCCAUGAUCAAGUCGACCACGGCUGGGACCUCGACUUCAGUCGGAUCUGUGGCACUUUUAGGCUGCGGGGGCUCUUCAGUGAAGGGAUCUUCUUGAACUGAAGGUGUAUGAAUGUGUUCCAAAAACACAUUGCUGGGAAUGGCUUCUCUCUUGGAACCUAUUUUUGCCAAAUCAUCGGCUACUUGAUUUUUCAGUCGGGGUAUAUGAUGGAGCUCUAACCCCUCAAACUUCUUUUCCAACUUCCUCACUGCAUUACAGUAACCAGUCAUAGCUGGGCUUCUGACGUCCCACUCCUUCAUCACUUGAUUAACUACAAAAUCUGAGUCGCCGUAGACCAUGAGGCGACGGACACCGCGUGAAAUGGCCAUACGUAACCCAUAUAAGAGUGCUUCAUAUUCAGGUUCAUUAUUGGAGGAAUCAAAGUGAAUCCUGAGAACAUAUCCGAGCUUGUCUCCUGGGGGGGAUACCAGUACCACCCCAGUACCGGAACCAUUCAGCAUCUUGGAGCCAUCAAAGAACAUGGUCCAGUGCUCUGAGUGGACUUGAGUUGGCAGCUGCUGUUCGAUCCACUCGGCAAGGAAAUCUGCUAUUGCUUGGGGCUUCAUAGCUUUCUUUGCCUCAAACUUGAUAUCCAAGGGAAGGAGUUCAAUCACCCACUUUGCCACUCGACCAAUUGCAUCUCUAUUGUUCAAAAUCUUUGAUAAUGGAGCGUCACUGACGACUGUAAUGGAGUGGUCAGAGAAAUAGUGUGCAACCUUCUUCGUGGUCAUAUAAAUCCCAUAAAUAGGCUUCUGAUAAUGUGGAUAUCUUUGCUUGGAUGGAGUCAGAACUUCAAAAACAUAAUAUACGGGGCGCUGAAGUUUAUAAGCUUUUCCUUCUUCUUCCCGCUCGACCGUAAGUACUGUACUGACAACUUGUCCAGUGGCUGUAAUGUAAAGCAGUAAAGGCUCUUUGCUGAUUGGGGCAGCAAGCACCGGCAGGGUGGAAAGCAGGGCUUUGAGCUCUUCAAACGCUACAUCAGCUUCAGGAGUCCACUCGAACUUAUCAGAGUUCUUCAUCAGUCGGUAAAGAGGCAAUGCCUUUUCACCGAGGCAAGAAAUGAAUCGACUUAAGGCGGCCAAACAACCAGUAAGCUUCUGGACAUCGUGCACACGCACAGCGCGUUUCAUCCGGAGUAUAGCACUUACUUUCUCUGGGUUAGCGUCAAUCCCUCGUUCGGAAAUGAGGAAACCGAGUAAUUUUCCGCUAGGAACUCCGAAUGUGCACUUUGAUGGAUUAAGCUUGAUAUCAUACCUUCUGAGGUUGGCAAAAGUUUCAGCAAGGUCAGCCAGCAGGUCAGAACCUUUACGUGACUUGACCACAAUGUCAUCCAUGUAUGCCUCCACAUUCUGGCUGAUUUGAGUGAGCAAGCACUACUGAAUCAUCCUCAUAAAUGUGGCUCCAGCGUUCUUUAGGCCGAAUGGCAUGGUGACAUAACAGAAGCACCCGAAUGGAGUGAUGAAAGCCAUUUUUAUCUCAUCGGGUCCAUACAGUCGGAUCUGAUGAUACCCAGAAUAGGCGUCCAAAAAGGACAAGCGCUCACACCCCAGAGUUGAGUCGACUAUUUGGUCGAUGCGGGGGAGAUGAAAGUGAUCUUUCGGGCAGGCCUGAUAGAUAUGCUUGAAGGCAAUGCACAUGCGAAGUGAGUCGUCCUUCUUAGGGACCAUGACAACAUUGGCGAGCCACUCGGAGUGGUAAAUCUCUCGGAUAAACUCAGCUGCCAGGAGCCGAGCUACUUCUUCACCAAUUGCUUUUCUCUUCUGUACGGCGGGCCGUUGAAGAUGUUCCUUGACUGGUUUCGCUUUUGGGGCGAGUCGCAAACGGUGCUCAGCCAGCCCCCUGGGAACAUCUGGCAUGCCAGAAGGUUUCCAUGCAAGGAUGUCCCAGUUCUCACGGAGGAACUGGAUGAGCGCUUCUUCCUAUUUGGAGUCAAGUUUUGUCGAAAUGUGAGUCGGAGCAGCAUUGGAAUCGGUCGGGUGAAUAUGAAUCGGCUUCGUUCCACCAGACGACUGAAAUGCAGAGUCUGUGGCAGGCUUCUUGGCUCGUAGCAAAUCACUCGGAUCUGCACUUUUCUAAUACUCUUGCAAUUCUACUACUGCCAUUUGGGCAUCGGCGAUCUUUGAGCCCUUCUAGAAGCACUCUUCCGCCUUCUGCCGAUUGCCAGUGAUAGUGAUCACCCCUCUGGGACCAGGAAUCUUCAGUUUGAGGUACACGUAACAUGGUCGAGCCAUAAAACGUGCAUAAGCAGGCCUACCCAGAAUAGCGUGGUAAGCACUCUGGAAAUCCACGACCUCAAAUGUCAACUUUUCUUUGCGGUAAUUUUUGGAAUCACUGAAAACCACGUCGAGGGCGAUCUGGCCGAGUGAUUCAGCCUUUUUGCCAGGUAUAACGCCAUGGAAACUCAUAUUGCUUUCACUGAGUUUGGACAUCGGAAUGCCCAUUCCCUUCAAGGUCUCCGCAUAAAGGAUAUUUAGGCCACUACCACCAUCCAUCAGCACUUUAGUCAGUCAAGUGCCUUCAACAACUGGGUCGACCACCAGCGCUUGCCUCCCAGGGGUGGCUAUACUUGCUGGGUGGUCAGACUGGUCGAAUGUGAUGGCAGUCUGGGACCACUUCAGAUAACUGGGUGUCGCCGGAGCAACCAUAUUCACCUCUCUGUUUAUAACUUUCAAUCGACUUUUGCUUUCAACAUCAGCAAAAAUCAUCAAAGUGGAAUUGACGUUGGGAAAACCAUCAUCAUCUUCCUCUUUAUCCUCACCCUUGUCCGGCUCCUUUUCCUUUUCCUUGGGCUGUUUCUCUCGGAACUGUUGAAUCAGGAGCCGACAUUGCCGAGUGGUGUGUUUGGGGUAAAUCAGGUUACCCUCCUCAUCUUUCUUGGUAUGAAUGUGACAGGGCAAAUCCAACACAUCAUUUCCAUGUUGAUCUUUGACUUUCUUGGGAUUCCACGGCCCCUUGGGCUUCCCCUUGAACUUUCCUUUAGUCACGGCUAAGGCUUCACCAGGAGCAGCUGGCUCGGCUUUGCGCUUCUGCUUCCGACUGGAGUUCCCUCCUCGGGUUUCGUGGGCGAUUGUUUUGUGCUUGCCACUCCGGAGUCGAUCCUCCUCUUCACCAUUAGCAAACUUGGUGGCAAUUUCCAUCUUUCGACUCAGACACAUAUCCCCAGUCCGACCGAACUUCAGGUUCAAUUCUCGAUACUUGACACCUUCCUUGAAGGCACAAACUGCUUGGUGAUCUGACACAUUUUCCACCGUGUGGUGCAACGUGAUCCAUCUCUGGAUAUAGUCUCUCAAGGUUUCAUUCGGUUUCUGCACACAGCACUGCAACUCUGUUAACCCUGCUGGUCGUUUGCAUGUACCUUCGAAGGUCCUCACAAACACUCGGGCGAGUUCCACCCAACUAUAUAUGCUGCCCGGUGCCAACUGAUUCAACCACGCUCUGGCCGAGCCUUCCAACAUCAAAGGAAGGUGCUUCAUGGCCACUUCAUCGUUGCCGCCACCAAUCUGAACAGCCACUCGGUAAUCCUCAAGCCAAGUGUUAGGCUUGGAUUCACCAGUGAACUUGCUGACUCCAGUUGCCAACCUGAAGUUGGGAGGAAUCACUGCAGCCCUGAUGGCUCUACUGAAACACUCGGGACCUGAAACAUGCACUCUGCUGCCAGUCGGGUAAUCUCUGUCAUGGCCUUCUCUGUGCGCUCUGUUCCUGUCAACCAGACCUUGAACGAGAAUAGAUCUCGCAUCGAAGCCUGGCUCUCGGGGGUCGACUGGAAUCCUUCGCCCACCACUGUGAGGGCGUCUGUCAUCAUGUUGCCGAGGCACGUAUGACCCACUCCUUGGGGGAGGCGUGGGCACUCGAUGACGAUCAUCGUGGUCAAAUCGGUGAUCAUACUGCUCACGGUUUCUGUACUGAUCUCGUCGGUCUCUACGUCCCUCACGCCUCGCGGGCGAUCUUGGGCUGUGAGCCGACUGGACUGUGUCUGCUACCACGGAUCUGCUAUGGAUCCUAUUCCGCGACUGAGAUACUGCUGUGUUUUGUUCCCCUGCUGCCCGGAGUAAAGCCUUGAUCUGCAUCAAACCACUGCCAGCUUCUGACUGGGAGGGCUGAAUCGACUCUGCUAUUCGGGCUGCAGCUGUGAGAUUCUGAAUCGGAGUUCGGUAUACUUGAGUUGGAGGCCGAAAAAGUUGUCGUCGACUGGACUCAAGAACCCGCUGCCGAGCACACUCGUCUAGUGCGUGCUGGAGAUUCUCCUGCCGAGUGCGCUUAGCCAAGUUGGCCAGGCGCGCCUCCUCCAAGGCCCGGGCCUCGGGGUUUCUCCAACGAUAGGAGUGUGAAGCGCAUCCAUGUUACGGCGACGAAGCUCUUCCCUCUGCUGCGAAGAGAGGGGCUCGGGGCGGUAUUCCUCAUGGGCGUGCGACGGAUCGCCUCCGCCAUCGCCACCGUCGUCGCGGGGGAAGCCAGGAGGACUGUGCGGUCCGUUGACCAUCAGGACUUCCGCCGCGGGGUCGAUGCUGUCGCACUCGGAUGCAGUCUCGACGGAGCCAGUCGACAAGUUGAACAGGCCAUAAAGAGUUUCAUCGGGUUCGAUUGCCGCGACUUGCGGGGUGGCCGACUGGCGAGCCACCGCGUGCCUCACCCACCGCUGGAGCCGCGACCGACCGGAACGCUUGCGCCGGCGGGCGGCAGGGAGCGAGGACGCCACGGGAGCCGGCCGAUACUGAGUCGACGGCUGCCGCGGAAGGACACCGCGGACGCACGCGCGAAAGUGCGUAGCCCUACAGACGGGGAGCGCCUCGACGUCGAGUGGAGCCAAGCGGAAUCGUCGGCGACGAACACGAGCGCGCCGAGACAGAUCUCGCGGCCCUCGGCCAACCCUCCGCCGGAAACCAUGAUGAUGGGGAUCGGAAAAAUUGCAACUUCUCCAAUAAGUCGCUAAGACACCUACCCCACGGUGGGCGCCAACUAUCGUGGUACUAAGACUGGCAGUAGAAUAGGGGGGGGGGGUAGUAUGGAGAGGCAAGAUCCUAGCUAUGGCAAAGUUGUACACACGAGUUUUACGAGUUCAGGCCCUUCUCAGAAGAAGUAACAACCCUACGUCUCGGAGCCCGGAGGCGGUCGACUGGAUUAUGCGUAUGUGUGUUUACAGGGGUGCGAACCCUUGUGCAUUUGGAGGGGGUGGCUUAUAUAGAGUGCGCCAGGACCCCAGGGUUUAAGGUACAUCAAGAUGGGGGCGUUACUGGUAACACUAGUAAUAAGGAGUCUUAAUGAUCAUUAAACUAUGGUGUAAUGUCCGACUGUUGCAGUGUGGAGUGACUUUAGACCUUCUGGCGGUCGAGUGACUGUCUUCAUGGUCGAGUGACUUUGAGUCUUUCGAGUGGAAUGCUUCGUGGUCGAGUGGAUGGUGACUCCUCUUCGAAUGCUUCUGGUUUUAGGGUGAUGACCUUGGGAAGGGUAUCUAGGUCAGGCCUAUGACCCUACCCUAGGUACAUAGCUUCAUCACAAACCCUAGAAAACAAGCACCGAGGCUGCAGCUUAUACAUGAUGAGGUGAUUAUACGGUCACUACAAGAUCGUAUAGCUCCGUAUCCAUCCAUUUUGACCAGUCAAAGAAUCCUCCUGGCACGAAUUAUGCUCCAGUGUAGUUAUCAAACCCGAGACCUCAAGUUUGAUGAGCGAACAGGCUAACCAGCUACACAACCCUCCCGUUAUGUUCAACGAGAGGAAAAUAACCUUUUAUACAUUCCUGCAUUCGUGUGACAAGCAUGCCGUGUUUUUUUUGUGUGGGAGUCAUUGGGAUUUAAAUCAUAAUCGUGUCAUGUGGCUUUGGUGGUAAGACCAUCCACAGUGGUGCAGAAAUAAUGCAGCCUUAGUCACCUUACCUCUCUCCACAUAGUACAUUGGGUCCCACCAGUCAGAGGGUGAAACAAAACAAAUUAAUAAGAAAAAUUAAAAGCGCCAUCGGUGUAUCUUACCUCACACAUUUCGCUACUGCUCGGGAACACUGUCCAAUUGAUCCCUCUGUUCGCUCACGUACUAUUUUAAGUGAAUCCUUAUUAUAACAUGCACACAAUUUUGGGCACUUGUAUUCGACCUAAGUCAGUGUGCCACCGUAUCUCGUACGACUCCCUCCGUCUAGGUGUAAUAAGUCAUGUUAGAAGGUGCAGCGGGACCAAGGUGCAAGCAGAUUGGAGGAGAAGGAGAAACUUGACCGGUCAUUCCUCCAAUCAAAGCCCUGAUUUCUGUCUCUAAACACAACAAUUAAUCCAAACAACUAAGAUAUGCCUCUUCUCUCCUUGUACGUACUCCAUUUGUAUCUCACUUCCUAUGGCUUCGCACUCGCACGAUUUUCCUAUUCUAUGAACCUGUGUGUGCGUGUGUGUGUGUGUGCGUGUGCGUGUGUGUGUUUAAAAACAUGUGUGUGUUAGAGAGAGCGACAGAUCGACCUACUCCUACAGAGAGAUGGUGUGUAGUGUACAAUUUUAGCCGCGAGAGUCGGUGCAUCCUCUCGUUUCCGGGCGUCCGGUAGGGACAAGCGGAUAGCUGCCACGCCCGCUCCUGACCAGCCUGGCCCACCCAAAGCCCCUCCAUCGCCCGCGCGCGCUUCCUGCCCGAAACGGUCAGCGCCGCUCCAAAGAAUCGGUGCCGCAUUCAUGCCCGGGCAGAGCAGACGCGACCUGUCACUGGCGCCUGCGUUGAAGGGAGAAGCGAAUUCAAGAGUGAUGGUUGCUUCGUCCGUCCAACUUACUGCUGGGUCUAUGUGAUUUGACAGCUCAUUGGUCAUUAUUACUGAGGUGGUAGGACUGCUGGAUGUCCCACGCUUUCGGCGAAAGGAGGUACUACUAGAUUACAAUUUUCUCCAUUCUUACGACGGAGGAGUGCAAGAGCAGUGAAAACAGGCAGGCUCAGUGAUUACAUGACCCACCUCACACUAUCAGCAUAUUUUCUGUACACCGUGCGACACCUAACUCUUUACAUAGUACUACAUGUAUAGUACGUACUGUAAUUUAUCAGCGAGAUAGUACAAUGCUAUGAAGCUUCCAGCUUGUGUUACAUGUAUCUUGCGUCCAAGGUUGCCCGCGGCAACAUUUCAUAAAAUACAAAGGAGACUAACAUGAAUGCUAUUGCAUCUCAAUGAUUGACAAAUCAUAGCAAAUAUGUACUCCCUCCGUUCCAAAAUAACUGUCUCAACUUUAUGCUAUAUGCGGAGCAAAAUGAGUGAAUCUACACUCUAAAAUAAGUCUAUAUACAUCAGUGUUUGGAGUAUGUACUAGUAGUUCAUAUUGAAAUCUACUAAAGGACAUAUAUAUUCCAAACAAUAUGAUGAUCUCUCUAACCAAGGUAGUAGGGACGAGGAGUAAACGGAGGGAGUACUAGUAAAAUUUUCUCCUCGUCCUGCGAGCCACCGCGCGCGUGGGUAAGGGAGCGGGCGUAAGGCAUACAGUACUACUACUACUCAUGCAGUCCCUAGCCAUUGAAACAGAGACAGCUAAAGAAAAAAAUGAUCCUUGCAGUCCCUAGCCCUUGAACCGUAAACCCUAACCAGGCUUUAAUUUGCUGGCAACGUCGGCGCUUCCUAAGAAAUGAAGUUUCCAACCCUUUGACCAUCGGAUCAUUUUGUGCAGUUUCACCAAAAUCGAGAUGAGCAUCCUUGUGGCAAAGAAAUUGAAGAAGCGUGAUUACAAUAAGAUUACUGGGACUAGUUGAUGAGACAUAAACUCAUCACAAAUACAGUACGUAGAAGCCAGUAGAGGUAUGUGCGGGGCAAAGAGGUAGAGAAAUAUCCACAUGGAGUGAUGUGGGCAGCUGGAGCAGUGGUGCAAGCCGGCUGUAAAGGGAGUUGUACCUGAGGGAUGUCGGGACGUAGCUCAACCUAGAAGAGGGCGGCGGGAGGAGGCAACUACCCACGUCGCGGCAGUGAGCAAUGGACGAAGGCAACCUCACCGGCUUUGUGAGAGAGAAUGGCGGGGACCCCUGAUUGGGACGUGCCGACAGUGGGUUUUCGCCGUCGGUGACGGCGACCGCAUCUACACUAAGCAUCCACCCCUUCCCCCGGCGGACGUGAUCUGCCGGGAUGUUAGAGAUGUGGCCACAGUGGUUUUGUGCGAGAGAGUGUGAAAACUGAAGAGAGCAACCCCAGCAAGCAACUGUGUAGGCUCGUCCUGCCUAUGUAUAUAGUGGAGCGGUUUCCUUUUCUCUCCAUAUGAACCUAUUUAUAUUGCAUACGUGACACUAAAGAAAAAAAACUUUAUUUAUAAAUGACGCGACACCUACUACUCGUUCUCCUAUAAACCUUGCGCUUGGCAUCUCCAAACUAUUAACCUUGCGAUUCGCUCUUUGCCUCUUCGGGAAGUCGAGCAAUAAUGGUACUGCAGUAUAUAUCGUUCUGGCUAUAUGAGACCAAAUGAAUUGCUGCACAUCCACCACAUGGCGAGGGUCGAGGGGCGAGGGAGAGUGCGUACUAUUACAUCCGUUUCAAUAUGGACUACAUACGGAGCAAAAUGAGUGAAUCUACAAUCUAAAAUACGUCUAUAUACAUCAGUGUUUGGAGUAUGUACUAGUAGUUCAUAUUGAAAUCUACUAAAGGACAUAUAUUCCAAACGAUAUGAUAAUCUCUCUAACCAAGGUAGUAGGGACGAGGAGUAAAAGGAGGGAGUACGAGUAAAAUUUUCUCCUCGUCCUGCGAGCCACCGCGCGCGUGGGCGAGGGAGCGGGCGUAAGGCGUAGUAAGCAAGCUUCACCUCAUCCUGCGAGCCACCGCACCCGUGGGCGGGGGAGACGGCAUACUAAGCAAGCUUCUCCUCGUUCUGCGAGUUGACGGGACACAUCAAAAGUACUCUAGUGUAUAGAGCCUUGCCUCUAAGGUAGGCCCCACAUGGUUUGCCUCUUUUUUAACAUAACACGUCAAGUCGCAAUUUGUUUGUUCACCCGUGGUAGACGAUCCUCCCUCCAUCUAGUGGACAACCAGUACACGUGUCAAGUUACCACGUGGGCUGCCUUUUCGUACAGAAAUGAGCUCCACCCUGUACCCGCGCGGGUGUGGUUGGGAAAGAGACGGGAGUACGUGCGCCGUGCGUGCACCUCUUCUCUUCGUGCACGUCCCCCACCUACGUGGGUGUGUGUGAGAGAUACAGACCUAGACAAAUGGUUUGUGCGUUCGUGAGUGUUUUUUUUGGGAGGGGGGAGGUUGAUUUUGUCAAUGUAUUUGUGGGAAUAUGUGUCGAUGACAUCUCAAACAAAAUUUUGCAUGCAAUGUGUGUGAAAUGGAGGCCUAUCCAUAUCAUAUAUAGAGGGUCGGGCGAUCCACGAGAAGAGAGGGAGGGGUCAUAGAUAUCGAUAGAGUCGAAGAGAGGAUCAAGUGGGUGGGUGCGAGAUCGAUGAAGAGAGCCAUCGAAAUUGUGUGUGUGUGCAAGUCAAAGAUAUAGGGCGACUGACCUAGCUACCGGAACGUCAGAGGGCACAGGUCAAGUUUGUGUGUGGCAGGGAGACAUGACUAGAGCGCUCGAUGUAUCGGUGUGUGCGUGUGUGUGCGAGGGGGUGGGGGGAGGGGUAGGCAGAGGCCUAACUAUAGAGGUAGAACGACUCGUAUAUGUGUUGAGAAGGAGAGACCCAGCUAUGUCUUGAGGGAGAUAGGUCGACAUCAGUACAUAACUGAAGGACGGGAAAUAGGGUGGGACAGAGAGAGAGGAGAGAGAGAGGGCGGGAGAGGGGUCGAGUGCUGGAUGGGUGAUGGAGUUGCUUCUCGAAGAUGGUGGGAGAGGCCUACUAGACAAACUGUGGGUGGAACUGCAAUAUUAUCAAUAAGAAUGGGGAUGUGUUUCUGUGUGUGCCUGUGCGUGAUAGAUCUGUCGGGACACAUCCAUGGAUGAUGAAGGGGAACCAUGUGUUUGGUAAGCAAACCUAACUAGAUCGGUAGAUCAAUUGUUGUUUGUCGGAGGAAGGGAGAGACAUAACUAAUGAGGUAGAUCGAUCGAUGCGUGGGGAAAAACGAGUUAUAAGGACCUAGCUAGCUAUAUGUAUAGCGGGAGAUCGGUCGGUGUACGUCCAUUUGUUAGAGGCAAAUAAGGCCCGACGAGACGGAUAGACAGAGAGAAUGGAGCUAGGAGGUGGUGCGAGAGGCCCAGCUACUAGCUAGAUAGGGGGAGGAGUGUGCAGUUGUGAGAUUGAUGAAAAGAGGGGCGAGAGUUUACACGUGAGUGGGACCGUAUGAGAGACAUGAGGCAAGGACACAUAAAGGUGGAGAUUGAAGGUGCGUGUGUAUGUUGUAGGCAGACAUCGGUGGAGAGGUUUAUCGAUCGGUGUGUGUCGGGAAGGAGUUGUGGAGACUGUGGGAGAAUGACCUAAAGAAGAAGAAAAUGAAUGUGCGCGAUGGAUAGAAUGCUGAGGGAGGGGGAGGGCGAGGAGGGCGUGUGCAUGCACGAGAGAAAGUUAGUGGUAGCUACAAAGGUUAGAGGAUUGUGUGGGUGUAAGAGACUACGAAAGAUCAUAAUUUGAUAUGAAAGGGGAUUCAUAUAUUUGAAUAGGAGAUCAUAGUGUUUUAACAUAUGCAUGCAUGAAUAUAGCGGUGAUACGCGUGUUGUGGUUUUGCACAUGUUAUACCAUAAUGUGAUAAUGCAUGGCGUUUGCAACGCACAGCUAAAUGUCGAACAAUCUAAACCAUACUAUACAUCGAACAAUGUCACAUUUUAUUUGAAUUUGUGAUGAUGUGUGGCGUUUGCAGCUUACAACUAAAUAUCGAACAAUCUAAACAAUACUAUAUAUCGAACAUUCUCACAUUUUAUUUGAAUUUGUGGUAAUGUCUGGUGUUUGCAACUCACAUCUAAAUACUUGUAGGCGUAGGGGGCGGGGCACCAUACAUAAUGUGAUAAACACAUUAUACAUAUGAGACAUGGUUUAGUUUGUGAAGAUCUAGCUAGAGCUUGAAAUGUACUAUGAUUUGAAAUCAACAUAAAGUGGAUUCAAAAAAUCGAGUUCGAGUUCAUAUAGUACACAUAGUUCAUAUGUAACUCGAGACUAAUCAUGUGGUGUGCUGUGAAGAUAAUACACAAACGAUGGUUUAACUUGACAAUAAUGACGAUUGUAGAUCUUAUUAAAACAGAGAAACGAAUUCAAAUGCUUUGACUUCACAACAAUCAUUAUUGUAGAUCUUAUUCAUAUAGAGAAACAAAUUCAAAUUUAGUUCAUAUUGACACAGUAGUAUAUACGUUUGGAAUGCACUAAAACGUUCAUUUGAGUACAAGGUUGCAUGCAUUAUACACGUAGCGAAAUAUUUUGAUUGAACAUAACAUGAAUUCAAAGUUUUGAAUGACAUUUGUAGUGCGAAUUGAUUUGGUACAGUACACGUUAGGCUUGUCCGGAAAUUUCAACCCGCGCCUUGUUAGCCCGAAAUAUUUAAGAUAUAUCUUUGUCUCGUUGUACUCCGACAACUCCCUCCAUCUCAACCCGCGCCUUGCUAUUCCAAAAUUACAAUGCGCGCGAAAACUCCCACCUCUUGUGAAAUCCCGACACGCGAAAUGCCCAUGAUACCCCUGAACCGAAAGAACCGCCUCAAAUCGGUGGGGGUACUUUUGUAACUUACCCCACAUUUCGGACAAGCGCGUCCCUAUGCCAUGGUUCCCCACUCCCAUCCCAUCCGCCCACCCAUUCGUACACCAAGGCCGGGAAAACGCGCAAAGCCCCACACCCUCCUCGGUCCGCCACCCAGCUGGAGCCUCUUCCCCAACGACGUCGUCCACAGCAACACCUCGACGUCCCUCAUCCACCAUACCGGAUGAGGAUCCGUCGUCGAUCUGGUUGUCCCGCCGGUUCAGCCACCCCGUCCUUCACCUCCAAGGAGCUGCCCUGAUGUUCCCCUCGUCUUUCGUGCCACCUCCAUUCCCACACCGCCGGAAGAGCAUCAGCAUCACCGUUUCCUCGGAUGAAGCUGCGGCCUAAUCGGCGCCACCAAAGAGGUUGUACACUAAUCGCCGCAUUUUCUUCUUGAUUCGAUCUCACGGUGCUGUCGACGCUCGGUCCCGAGCCGACACGACGCGACCCAACCAUCGCGGUGUCGCUGGCCACUUCCUCCAUGGCGUCGCUCCCUCAGCGGCGACGUCCACAUCAGUAGGAGCUGCUGCUGCUUUAGCUCGCGCUCGCGCUGCUGCUCUGCUCUUGCUCUCGGUCCCUUGCCUGGUCUGCUCUUGCUCUUGCUCUUGCUCACGCUGUUGCUCUCGCUCUUGCUCUUGCUUGCGAUGCUGCUCCGAUUUAGCUACACUUCAGUCGACUGAAUCGACUUUUGGGUCAGUCGAUUUUCAGGGGGGGGCUCGCCGGUGUGAAGGAAGAACCAGCCGCAGCGGGGAGGGGGGCCCGCCGGAGAAGUACCCCACUAUCUAUCUUAGGGUUCAGGGUGGGGGCGGUGGUCACUGGCGGUGGUGGGGUGGUGGCGUGGGGAUCGCCGGAGAAAAAGCUUAGCACGGGGGGGCCUAGAGGGAUGGCCGAGGCGGCGGCGGACCGGCGGUGGGGAGUGUUUUCGGGGCGGGCGGGGCGGCUGUUUGGCCGGUGGUGGCUGGCGCCUCAGGGGGAUGGAGGUUGAAGAUGAACUGCAGGCCCUUAAUUUCGUAUCCAACGGCUGCAAAAUCGACUGACCAGAGAUGAAAAAGUCAGUCGACUGACGUGUAGCCUCACCUCUAGUGCGUUCAGUUUCGACAGUAAAAUUCAGUUUCGACAGCAAAAUUCAGUUUCGAUAGUUAAGUUCAGUUUCAACAGCUAAAUUCAAUUUCGACAGUUAAGUUCAGAGAUGAGAGGUUGAUGUAUACAUCUAGCACUUUGUGAUUAUGUAUUUUAUGUCAUCUAUUGGAGAUGCUAUUAGAAUUCCACUUAGGUUAACGUUGUCUCUCUUGUCCUGCUUCAGCCUCGACGUCGUACAAGUCACCGGAGCUGCUACAACGACGAAACCCUCCAUCACGGCGGAGUAGUACCUCGGGCUCCAUCUCCAAACGCCUAAGAUCUUCUUCCCCUCCUCCAACAGCCAAGUCAGCCAGAGCAUCCUCACCGGCCAACCCAAUCACGCUGAGAUCGACAUGGCUUCGCCAAAGAGGUUGUACACUUCUUGUGGUUUGACUUAAUCUCACCAUACUUCUUUGCAUCCUGUGAUCUUCCAAUUCUUGUGAACCAAACACCCAGAUUGGCAGAAAUCCUGUGUUUUUAAAUUCUCUGUUUUGCACGUGCAUUCCUAUCCUAUUCCUGUCUAUUUCGUAUCCCUGCAUUGUUAGAAUCCUCAAAUUCGAACAAGCCCUUACACAAUUACUUCUGUUACAGAUAUGUGUCAAAGAAAACCUUGUGUGGUUUGUCCUGCUCCUGCGGUGCUAUGUUCCACCCCAGCUCAGCUGCUCGAACGACGGAAGGGUUCACCAUAGCAGGGAUCCGCUCUCCAGACUGUCUUUCACCGCCUCAGAUCUUCUUCACCGCCGCUGGCAGCCACGACAAGUUCAUUACCAUCAUCAACUGAGCAGAUGACCUUGAGGACUACACGGGUCCGCAAGAGAGGUCGCACUCUUCCGUGUCUGCUUACGUUAUGCAUCGCUUAAUAUGAUGACAUGCUACUUUAUCGUCGUGUUCACCUAUUAGACUCCGACUCAGGUCCAAACUUAUGCUGAAACUUGAGUUUUUAAAUGGUUGUGGGGUACAUAUUGGGGCAGCAAUCAGUACUAUCUGUCUACUAUCUGGUUAAUCUCGGGUGUCUACUAUGAGUUUCAUGUUGGGUGCAAACAAACAUUAAAGGAGCCAUUAUCUGUAUUUUUUAACUAAAGCUAUUAUCUACCUGCUAUCAUUGGUUUUGGGUCUAUCCACAGUUUGCUACCAUCACUCUGGAUUUGUGCAUGCACUCCUUACAUAAUCUCACUAUGUUUUAUUCCUAUGCAUGUCAGUUAUUGUACACAAUGGAACUAAACAUGUAGAGCAAAAGAGACGAGCUUUGCGUGGCAAUAAAAUUUCAUGCAGACGUCGCUCCAUGGUGGGCGCAAAGGCAGCCCCCCUCCACCCAUUUCGGAUCGUAAUCAAGAGGAAGAUAACUGUUCUGAGGGGGAUUCGGAAGCAGAAGACCACUCCUAUUUACCCCAAGAGGUCUUCGCUCUAACUUGGCAUGCUGAUGUUGGUUAUAUCAUGCAUAUGGUGCCUUGCAUUGCUUACUAUAUACAUCAAAUAUGUCAACUGCUUAAUUUAGACAUGCUUUGUGUGAAUGCCAUCUGUUUAGUUUAUUCAUCGUUUAUGUGAAUUAUGCAAUGCCAUCUUGUUUAGACAGGCAUCAUAUAUGUGAAUUUUGCAAUGCCAUCCUGCUUAGCGAGUCAUCUUAUAUGUGAAUUAUAUCAGGCCAUCCUUUUUUUCGUUACGUAUUACAUUUGUCAACAAUGUUAGUACAUUCAACUACUCUUCAUAUGCAUCAGCCAUUUGACACGGUGAUGGAAAAUUCUGGAGUGAAAACAAGGUCUUUAGAGCAGACUAUGCUAUCUGACGAAGCGCAUAUCUCGCUGGUUACGGAUAGCUCCUCGGAGGAGGAUUCAGAGACAGAUGACCAAUCCUAUGCCCCCCCGAGGUGCAUGCUCUAACUUGGCAGGGUUAUGUUGCUCAUAUCGUGCGUAUGGUAUCUUGCAUUGCUAUGUCAUUUGCUUAGUUUAGACAUGAUUUGUGUGAAUGCCACCUCUUUAGUGUCUAAUUACCAUAUAUGUGAAUUAUGCAAUGCCAUCUUUUUGCAAGACAUUAUAUAUGUGAAUUAGGCAAUGCUAUCUUGUUGCAAGGCAUUAUAUAUGUGAAUUAUGCAAUGCCAUGCUGUUUAGCCAAGCGUCAUAUAUGUGAAUUAUAUCAUGUCGUCCUUUUUUUGUAUUUCUCAUUGCUUUUGUCGACAAUGUUUGUAUAUUCAACUGCUCUUCCUGUGCAUCAGCCAUUUGAAUUGGUGAUGGAGAAAUCUGGAGUGAAAAGAAGGUCUUCAGAGCAGACAAUGCUACCUGGUGAAGCAGAUAUGUUGCUGGCUAUAGAUAGCUCUUCAGAGGAGGAUUCAGACGCAGAUGACCAGUCCUAUUAUCCCCCUGAGGUGUAUGCUCAAACUUGGCAGGGUUAUAUUACUCAUAUCAUGCAUAUGUUGUAUUGCAAUGCUUAGUUUUUACAUCAUAUACACGAUGUUGAAUGCCAUCUCCUUAGUUGACAUAUCAUUUAUGCAAUUGCCCUCUGCUCACUUCCUUAGUAUAUAAAUCAUAUAUUUGAAUUAUAUCAUGCCAUGAUGUUUACAUAGAUAGCAUGUAUCUGAAUUAUGGCAUGCCAACCCAUUUUCUAAAGACAUAAUAUAGUUAUAUCAUCUCAUCCUGCUCACAUAGUCAUCAUAUUUUGAAUUAUGUCAUUCGAUCCGUGAAUUAUAUCAUGCCAUCAUGUUUCCAUCGACGGCAUGUUUGUGAUUUAUGGCAUGCCAACCACUUUAAUAGACACAUCAUAUAGUUAUAUCAUGUCAUCCUGUUUACAUAGUCAUCAUAUUUUGAAGUAUGUCAUUCUAUCUUGUUUAGUUAGCCAUCAUACAUGUGAAAUUGUGUCAUGCUAUCCUGUUUAAUUAGCCAUCAUAUAUUUGAAAUUAUGUCUUGCUAUUCUGUUUGGUUAGAAAACAUAAAUGUGAAUUAUUUCAUGCCCUGUUUUCUUCCCUACUAUCCAUUGCACCUGUCUAUCAUACAAUGCCUGUACAUUCAAUUACUUUUCUAGUUUAUCAUCCAUUUCAAUUGGAGGGGGUGAUGGCAGUAUCUGUGGGAGUAAAAACACGGUCUUCAGAAAAGAUCGUGCUACCUGUCGAUGGAGAUAGAACCACGGUUGUACUUUCCCAAGAACCAGCCCCACCACACAUAACCCAGACUCACGCAGAUUGUACCCCUACCCAGUUGGACAGAGAACCAGCUACACCCCUUCUAACCCCAACCCCAGCAGAUAGUAACCCAGUUCCCAUUGACACAGCACCGUCUCCACCAUAGAGCACCCAAACACGAGCAGUUAGUAAGGCAACUGCAGUGCCCAAAGCACGAGGACCACCACUUCGAACCCCAAGUCAACGCUUAAAGCAGAAGAAGAAUUAUUCUCAGGUCAGGUUCCGUAGCUAUGGUUCAUACUACUUUGCUCUUGCAUCACUGUAUUUACUCAUACCAACUAAUUUCAAAUUUGAAGGAUGCAAUUGAAACUCCAAUGGCGCAACAGGUAUGUUUUAAACCUGUUUCUUUAAUGUGUUUGCUGUUGUAACUUGCUCUAUGUUGAUUUCAGUUUCAAUUGAAUAAACAGUUAUGUUCUCAUGCCAUGCACAUUACAAGUGUUGUUAUUGCUGUGUAGUUUCCCACACUUAUAUUCUGUCUAUGCUGCUUUGUCUUAAAUAGAUAUGAUUCGAACUGUAUCUAUCUUGAUUUGGCAACAUAAACUAGAAUGAUAUAGACCAUACAGUGACCAUACUACAUAGAUAUAUGUUAGUUUCAUGCUGUUAUCCUGCCCACCUUAUUACUGAACUGGUUUACCAAAAUGAAUUUCAUAUACUACAUUGUAAACGUGUGAUGUGUUUGUUUGUUUCUCCUUUAGAACGCGGAUAAAAUAUUGGAGAAGAGUACCCCGUUAUGCAAUGGUAAAGGAAGUAAUGCAGAUCAGGUUCAAGAUAGUGAGACAUCCCUGUUGUUCUCCAAGAAAGCUGAUAAAAACUAUAUUGAAGACACUGAGACAACCCCAAAGUCCUGUCUUGAUGUAGUGUUCGAGUUACUGGCUACUACUGCUGGCACCAGCUCUUCGUACUCGCUGCCUGAAUCAGUUCGACUUCUUGAGUAUCAACUUCAAGUUGAAAGACAUCGAUUAGAUGUUAUGCGACAGGAAGCUGAAGGACUGAGGAAGUCCCUGCAGAAUUCAGAUGCAUACUUUCUGGUGCAACAGCAAGUGCUGGAGGAUUUAAGGGCCAAACAAGAGAAAGUCAAUAAGCUUGCUAAGCAUCUUGCCAGCAUUAUGGGUACCCAGGAUAUUGUUUCUUGAGCUCUUCUGAAGUGGUUUCAGUUCUGGACUUGUUUUGCUGCGGCGUUUAUAUGCUGCUUUGUUCCCUAUAUUUGCACUGGUGGCGAACUUUGAUGCCAAGUGGAUGUAAUAUGUGUAAUAGCCGUGAUAGCCUAGCGUAAGUUACUUGCUUAUUUAUUACCGUUGUCUUGUUUAUUUGUUUUCUUGUAGUCAGUGCAGUUCUUUUUUCGUGGUUUGCUAGUGGCCGGAAUAACCUAUUUUUUAAACUAGGCCACAUUAACAAUGGGCUACAUAUUUACUGUAGUUAACAUGGGCCUCCUACGGGACGUAGAAACAAUGGGCCUUCUAAGGGCCGUAGACACAACGGGCCUUCUACGGGGCGUAGACACAAUGGGCCUUCUACGGGGCGUAGACACAAUGAGCCUUCUACGGGCUGUAUCAUCAAUGGGCCUUCUACGGGCCGUAUGAUCGGUUGGCCAAACAUGGGCCAAUAACAGACCACAUUAUGGCCGUAAAUGGGCUAGAGUUGCCGUCCGUUCAUGGCCGACCAUAACGGGCCGUCGUUAAUAGGCCGUAUUUGAUGACGCUAUGAAAACGGCCCAACGUAUUAACGGGCCACAAACGGGCCGACUGUAACCACGGGCUGUAUUUGGCCCACAAGCUGAAAAUGACAGUAAUGGGCCGAAAGUAAACGAAUGCUGGAAAUGAGCCCAAGAAUAAAUGGGCCCUAAGAAGGCCGAAAGAUAACAUGGGCUGGAAACGUCCCAACGGAAUAAUGGGUCGUUAAUGGGUAUAAAGUGAUACACUGUUCAUUACGGGCCAGUUUUACCACGGGCCGUUAAUGGGCCAAGAGUUACAAAGGGCCUCAUCUGUGCCGAAAGACAUCAUGGGCCAUACAUGGGCCGGAACAUAAAAUGGACUGGAAUCAUAUUGGACGGCCCAGAUGACGCUACUGGGCCUAAUUCGGAUAGGUCGUAACGGGCCCUGGGUUAGCGGGUUGUAAAUGGGCUAUAUGCGAGCAGACCGUUAACGGGCUUUCCGUGUGCCGGCCCGCCACCUUUUAACCAAGUCAAAUGGGCCAGCCUUUUCAAAGGAAUGGGCCUCUGUUGGGCCGUGCCACGUGUCGACGUAUCAUAGGCGCCUUCUGUCCAAUGAGUGGAUGACAUUUGUCCCAACGGUGAGCCGACACAUGUUUGCUCCAGCCAACGAUGAUUUUACACGUGGAAAAUCCCCAUUGGUCGGGGCUGUUAGCGGGUUAUCGGAUCCAAAACCGGACCCGAUAGCUUAACGAUGUUCCGUUACGGUGGAUGCCACGUGUCUGUCACCCUUGACGAAAGCACUUCUGCGACGCGCGAUUUAUCGUCAUGGAAGUGGACACUUCCGUGAUGAUAAUUUUGGUAAUGUCAUGGAACACUUCUAUGACAGCACAGGUAUGACUAUCUUCAUUCUGUCAUAAAAUUGUGAUGGAUCUACAUGCAUGACAAAAAAUACGACCUACUGUGACAAACACAUAUCAUCACGGAAGUGUAUUUUUUUGUAGUGUAUUUCAGUGUUUCGAAGAAAAGGAAUAUCAAACGGAGUCCAAAUGGAAUGAAACCUUCGGGAGAGUUACUUUUGGAAGGGAAGCAAUCCAGGAGACUUGGAGUAUAUGUGAGUUCUUGAUCCUAUCUUGCAAGUCUAUAUUCACCUACUAUGUGUUAUGAUCCGGCAACCCCGAAGUGACAAUAAUCGGGACCACUCCCGGUGAUGACCAUAGUUUGAGGAGUUCAUGUAUUCACUAUGUGUUAAUGCUUUGGUCCGGUACUCUAUUAAAAGGAGGCCUUAAUAUCCCUUAGUUUCCAUUAGGACCCCGCUGCCAUGGGAGGGUAGGACAAAAGAUGUCAUGCAAAUUCUUUUCCAUAAGCACGUAUGACUAUAUUCGGAAUAUACAUGCCUACAUUACAUUGAUGAAUUGGAGCUAGUUCUGUGUCACCCUAUGUUAUAACGGUUGCAUGAAUAAUCGCAUCUGGCAUAAUUCUCCAUCAACGAUACAAUGCCUACGAGCUUUUCACAUAUUGUUCUUCGCUCAUUUACUUUUCCGUUGCCACUAUUACAAUCACUAUAAAAUCCAAAAAUAUUACUUUUGCUACCGUUACCGUUCCUUCCAUAUUACUUUGCUACUAAACACUUUGCUGAAGAUACUAAGUUAUCCAGGUGUGGUUGAAUUGACAACUCAACUGCUAAUACUUGAGAAUAUUCUUUGGCUCCCCUUGUGUCGAAUCAAUAAAUUUGGGUUGAAUACUCUACCCUCGAAAACUGUUGCGAUCCCCUAUACUUGUGGGUUAUCAUUGACCGAGACACGUCUCUGGUCAAUAACCAAUAGCGGAACCUGGAUGCUCAUAUUGGCUCCCACAUAUUCUACGAAGAUCUUUAUCCGUCAAACCGCAAAACAACAUACGUUGUUCCCUUUGUCAUCGGUAUGUUACUUGCCCGAGAUUCGAUCGUCGGUAUCUCAAUACCUAGUUCAAUCUCGUUACCGGCAAGUCUCUUUACUCGUUAUGUAAUGCAUCAUCCCGCAACUAACUCAUUAGUCAGAUUGCUUGCAAGGCUUAUAGUGAUGUGCAUUAUCGAGAGGGCCCAGAGAUACCUCUCCGACAAUCGGAGUGACAAAUCCUAAUCUCGAAAUACGCCAACUCAACAAGUACCUUCGGAGACACCUCUAGAGCACCUUUAUAAUCACCCGGUUACGUUGUGACGUUUGGUAGCACACAAAGUGUUCGUCCGGUAAACGGGAGUUGCAUCAUCUCAUAGUCAUAGGAACAUGUAUAAGUCAUGAAGAAAGCAAUAGCAACAUACUAAACAAUCAGGUGCUAAGCUAACGGAAUGGGUCAAUUCAAUCACAUCAUUCUCCUAAUGAUGUGAUCCCAUUAAUCAAAUGACAACUCACGUCCAUGGCUAGGAAACUCAACCAUCUUUGAUUAACGAGCUAGUCAAGUAGAGGCAUACUAGUGACACUAUGUUUGUCUAUGUAUUCACACAUGUAUUAUGUUUCCGGUUAAUACAAUUCUAACAUGAAUAAUAAACAUUUAUCAUGAUAUGAGGAAAUAAAUAAUAACUUUAUUAUUGCCUCUAGGGCAUAUUUCCUUCAGUCUCCCACUUGCACUAGAAUCAAUAAUCUAGAUUACACACUAAUGAUUCUAACACCCAUGGAGUUUUGGUGCUGAUCAUGUUUUGCUCGUGGAAGAGGCUUAGUCAACAGGUCGGCAACAUUCAGAUCCGUAUGUAUCUUGCAAAUCCCUAUGUCUCCCACCUGGACUUGGUCCCGGAUGGAAUUGAAGCGUCUCUUGAUGUGCUUGGUUCUCUUGUGAAAUCUGGAUUCCUUUGCCAAGGCAAUUGCACCAGUAUUCUCACAAAAGAUUUUCAUUGGACCCGAUGCACUAGGUAUGACGCCUAGAUCGGAUACGAACUCCUUCAUCCAGACUCCUUCAUUUGCUUUUUCCGAAGAAAAUAUGUACUCCGCUUCAUAGGUAGAUCCCGCCACGAUGCUUUCUUUAGAACUGCACUAACUGACAGCUGCACCGUUCAAUAUAAACACAUAUCCGGUUUGCGAUUUAGAAUCGUUCGGAUCAGUGUCAAAGCUUUCAUCGACGUAACCAUUUACGACUAGCUCUUUGUCACCUCCAUAAACAAGAAACAUAUCCUUAGUCCUUUUCAGGUAUUUCAUGAUGUUCUUGACCGCUGUCCAGUGAUCCACUCCUGGAUUACUUUGGUACCUCCCUGCUAAGCUAAUAGCAAGGCACACAUCAGGUCUGGUACACAACAUUGCAUACAUGAUAGAGCCUAUGGCUGAAGCAUAGGGAACAUCUUUCAUUUUCUCUCUAUCUUCUGCAGUGGUCGGGCAUUGAGUCUGACUCAACUUCAGACCUUGUAACACAGGCAAGAACCCUUUCUUUGCUUGAUCCAUUUUGAACCUUUUCAAAACUUUGUCAAGGUAAGUGCUUUGUGAAAGUCCUAUCAAGCGUCUUGAUCUAUCUCUAUAGAUCUUGAUGCCCAAUAUGUAAGCAGCUUCACCGAGGUCUUUCAUUGAAAAACUCUAAUUCAAGUAUCCUUUUAUGCUAUCCAGAAAUUCUAUAUCAUUUCCAAUCAGUAAUAUGUCAUCCACAUAUAAUAUUAGAAAUGCUACAGAGCUCCCACUCACUUGUAAAUACAGGCUUCUCCAAAAUUCUGUAUAAAACCAUAUGCUUUGAUCACACUAUCAAAACGUUUAUUUCAACUCCGAGAGGCUUGCACCAGUCCAUAAAUGGAUCGCUGGAGCUUGCACACUUUGUUAGCUCCCAUUGGAUCAACAAAACCUUCUGGUUGCAUCAUAUACAACUCUUCUUCCAGAAAUCCAUUCAGGAAUGCAGUUUUGACAUCCAUUUGCCAAAUUUCAUAAUCAUAAAAUGUGGCAAUUGUAACAUGAUUCGGACAGACUUAAGCAUCGCUACGGGUGAGAAAGUCUCAUCGUAGUCAACUCCUUGAACUUGUCGAAAACCUUUUGCAACAAGUCGAGCUUUGUAGACAGUAACAUUACUGUCAACGUCAGUCUUCUUCUUGAAGAUCCAUUUAUUCUCUAUGGCUUGCCGAUCAUCGGGCAAGUCAACCAAAGUCCACACUUUGUUCUCAUACAUGGAUCCCAUCUCAGAUUUCAUGGCCUCAAGCCAUUUUGCGGAAUCUGGGCUCACCAUCGCUUCUUCAUAGUUCGUAGGUUCGCCUUGGUCAAGUAACUUGACCUCUAGAAUAGGAUUACCGUACCACUCUGGUACGGAUCUUACUCUGGUUGACCUACGAGGUUUGGUAGUAACUUGAUCUGAAGUUAUAUGAUCAUCAUCUUUAGCUUCCUCACUAAUUGGUGUAGGAGUCACACAAACAGAUUUCUGUGAUGAACUACUUUCCAAUAAGGGAGCAGGUACAGUUACCUCAUCAAAUUCUACUUUCCUCCCACUCACUUCUUUGAGAGAAACUCCUUCUCUAGAAAGGAUCCAUUCUUAGCAACGAAUUUCUUGCUUUUGGGUCUGUGAUAGAAGGUGUACCCAACAGUUUCUUUUGGGUAUCCUACGAAGACACAUUUCUCUGAUUUGGGUUCGAGCUUAUCAGGUUGAAGCUUUUUCACAUAAGCAUCGCAGCCCCAAACUUUAAGAAACGACAACUUUGGUUUCUUGCCAAACCACAGUUCAUAAUGCGUCGUCUCAACGGAUUUCGAUGGUGCCCUAUUUAACGUGAAUGCAGUUGUCUCUAAAGCAUAACCCUACAACGACAGCAGUAAAUCAGUAAGAGACAUCAUAGAUCGCACCAUAUCUAGUAAAGUACGAUUACGACGUUCGGACACACCAUUACGCUGUGGUGUUCUGGGUGGCGUGAGUUGCGAAACUAUUCCGCAUUGCUUCAAAUGUAGACCAAACUCGUAACUCAAAUAUGCUCCUCCACGAUCAGAUCGUAGAAACUUUAUUUUCUUAUUACGAUGAUUUUCCACUUCACUCUGAAAUUCUUUGAACUUUUUAAAUGUUUCAGACCUAUGUUUCAUUGAGUAGAUAUACCCAUAUCUGCUCAAAUCAUCUGUGAAGGUGAUAAAAUAACGAUACCCGCCGCGAGCCUCAAUAUUCAUCGGACCACAUACAUUAGUAUGUAUGAUCUCCAACAAAUCUGUUGCUCGCUCCAUUGUUCCGGAGAACGGCAUUUUAGUCAUCUUGCCCAUAAGGCAUGGUUCGCAAGUACCAGGUGAUUCAUAAUCAAGUGAUUCCAAAAGUCCAUCAGUAUGGAGUUUCUUCAUGCGCUUUACACCAAUAUGACCCAAACGGCAGUGCCACAAAUAAGUUGCAUUAUCAUUAUCAACUCGGCAUCUUUUGGCUUCAACAUUAUGAAUAUGUGUAUCACUACUAUCGAGAUUCAACAAAAAUAGACCACUCUUCAAGGGUGCAUAACCAUACAAGAUAUUACUCAUAUAUAUAGAACAACCAUUAUUCUCAUAUUUAAAUGAAUAACCGUCUCACGUUAAACAAGAUCCAGAUAUAAUGUUCAUGCUCAACGCUGGCGCCAAAUAACAAUUAUUUAGGUCUAAAACUAAUCCCGAAGGUAGAUGUAGAGGUAUCGUGCCGACGGCGAUCACAUCGACUUUGGAACCAUUUCCCACGCGCAUCGUCACCUCGUCCUUAGCCAUUCUUCGCUUAAUUCGUUGUCCCUGUUUCGAGUUGCAAAUAUUAGCAACAGAACCAGUAUCAAAUACCCAGGUGCUACUGGGAGCUCUAGUAAGGUACACAUCAAUAACAUGUAUAUCACAUAUACCUUUGUUCACCUUGCCAUCCUUCUUAUCCGCCAAAUACUUGGGGCAGUUCCGCUUCCAGUGACCAGUUUGCUUGUAGUAGAAGCACUCAGUCUCAGGCUUAGGUCCAGACUUGGGUUUCUUCUCCUGAGUAGCAACUUGUUUGCUGUUCUUCUUGAAGUUGCCCUUCUUCUUCCCUUUACAAAUUUUCUUGAAACUGGUGGUCUUGUUGACCAUCAACACUUGAUGCUCCUUCUUGAUUUCUACCUCCGCAGCCUUUAGCAUUGCGAAGAGCUCGGGAAUUGUCUUAUCCAUCCCUUGCAUAUUAUAGUUCAUCACGAAGCUCUUGUAGCUUGGUGGCAGUGAUUGAAGAAUUCUGUCAAUGACACUAUCAUCCAGAAGAUUAACUCCCAGUUGAAUCAAGUGAUUGUUAUACCCAGACAUUUUGAGUAUAUGUUCACUGACAGAACUAUUCUCCUCCACUUGCAGCUAUAGAACUUAUUGGAGACUUCAUAUCUCUCAAUCCGGGCAUUUGCUUGAGAUAUUAACUUCAACUCCUGGAACAUCUCAUAUGCUCCAUAACGUUCAAAACAUCGUUGAAGUCCCGCUUCUAAGCCGUAAAGCAUGGCACACUGAACUAUCGAGUAGUCAUCAACUUUGCUCUGCCAGACGUUCUUAACAUCGUCAGUUGCAUCUGCAGCAGGCCUAGCACCUAGCUGUGCUUCUAGGACGUAAUUCUUCUGUGCAGCAAUGAGGAUAAUCCUCAACUUACGGACCCAGUCCGUGUAAUUGCUACCAUCAUCUUUCAACUUUGCUUUCUCAAGGAACGCGUUAAAAUUCAACGGAACAACAGCUCGGGCCAUCUAUCUACAACAACAUAGACAAGCAAAAUACUAUCAAGUACUAAGUUCAUGAUAAAUUUAAGUUCAAUUAAUCAUAUUACUUAAGAACUCCCACUUAGAUAGACAUCCCUCUAAUCAUCUAAGUGAUCACGUGAUCCAAAUCAACUAAACCAUGUCCGAUCAUCACGUGAGAUGGAGUAGUUUUCAAUGGUGAACAUCACUAUGUUGAUCAUAUCUACUAUAUGAUUCACGCUCGACCUUUCGGUCUUAGUGUUCCGAGGCCAUAUCUGCAUAUGGUAGGCUCGUCAAGUUUAACCCGAGUAUUCUACAUGUGCAAAACUAGCUUGCACCCGUUGUAGAUGAACGUAGAGCUUAUCACACCCGAUCAUCACGUGGUGUCUCGGCACGACGUACUUUGGCAACGGUGCAUACUCAGGGAGAACACUUUUGUCUUGAAACUUAGUGAGAGAUCAUCUUAUAAUGCUACCGUCAAUCAAAGCAAAAUAAGAUGCAUAAAGGAUAAACAUCACAUACAAUCAAUAUAAGUGAUAUGAUAUGGCCAUCAUCAUCUUGUGCUUGUGAUCUCCAUCUUCGAAGCACCGUCAUGCUCACCAUCGUCACGGGCGCGACACCUUGAUCUCCAUCGUAGCAUCGUUGUCGUCUCGACAACUAUUGCUUCUACGACUAUCGCUACCGUUUAGUGAUAAAGUAAAGCAAUUACAGGGCGAUUUCAUUGCAUACAAUAAAGCGACAACCAUAUGGCUCCUGCCAGUUGCCGAUAACUCCGUUACAAAACAUGAUCAUCUCAUACAAUAAAAUAUAGCAUCAUGCCUUGACCAUAUCACAUCACAACAUGCCCUGCAAAAACAAGUUAGACGUCCUCUACUUUGUUGUUGCAAGUUUUACGUGGCUGCUACGGGCUAAGCAAGAACCGUUCUUACCUACGCAUCAAAACCACAACGAUAGUUCGUCAAGUUAGUGCUGUUUUAACCUUCUCAAGGACCGGGCGUAGCCACACUCGGUUCAACUAAAGUUGGAGAAACUGACAACCGCCAGCCACCUAUGUGCAAAGCACGUCGGUAGAACCAGUCUCGCGUAAGCGUACGCGUAAUGUCGGUCCGGGCCUGUUCAUCCAACAAUACCGCGGAACCAAAGUAUGACAAGCUGGUAAGCAGUAUGACUUGUAUCGCCCACAACUCACUUGUGUUCCACUCUUGCAUAUAACAUCUACGCAUAAAACCUGGCUCUGAUACCACUAUUGGGGAACGUAGUAAUUUCAAAAAAAUUCCUACGCACACGCAAGAUGAUGGUGAUGCAUAGCAACGAGAGGGGAGAGUGUUGUCCACGUACCCUCGUAGACCAAAAGCGGAAGCGUUAGUACAACGCGGUUGAUGUAGUCGUACGUCUUCACGAUCCGACCGAUCCAAGUACCGAACAUACGACACCUCCGAGUUCAGCACAUGUUCAGCUCGAUGAAGUCCCGCGAACUCCGAUCCAGCAGAGCUUCACAGGAGAGUUCUGUCAGCAUGAUGGCGUGAUGAUGGUGAUGAUGUUGCUACCGACGCAGGGCUUCGCCUAAGCACCGCUAUGAUAUGACUGAGGUGGAACAUGCUGGAGGGGGCACCGCACACGACUGGGAGAGAUCAACAGACCAACUUGUGUGUAGAGGUGCCCCCUGCCCUCGUAUAUAAAGGAGCAAGGGGGGAGAGGCGGACGACCAAAGGAGGGCGCGCCAAGGGGGGAGUCCUACUCCCACCGGGAGUAGGACUCCUCCUUUCCUUGUUGGAGUAGGAGAAGGGAAGGAAGGGAGAGAGGAGGAGAAGGAAAAAGGGGGGCGCCGCCCCCCUCCUUGUCCAAUUCGGACUAGAGGGGGAGGGGCCACGCGGCUGCCCUGGCUGCCCCUCCUCUUCUCCCACUAAGGCCCAUUAGGCCCAAUAUACUCCCCGGGGGGUUCCGGUAACCCCCCGGUACUCCGGUAAAUGUCCCAAAACCUCCCGAAACACUUCCUGUGUCUGAACAUAGUCAUCCAAUAUAUCGAUCUUUAAGUCUCGACCAUUUCGAGACUCCUCGUCAUGUACGUGAUCAUAUCCGGGACUCUGAACUACCUUCGGUACAUCAAAACACAAAAACUCAUAAUACCGAUCGUCACCAAACUUUAAGCGUGCGGACCCUACGGGUUCGAGAACUAUGUAGACAUGACCGAGACACGUCUCCGGUAAAUAACCAAUAGCGGAACCUGGAUGCUCAUAUUGGCUCCCACAUAUUCUAUGAAGAUCUUUAUCGGUCAAACCGCAUAACAACAUACGUUGUUCCCUUUUUCAUCGGUAUGUUACUUGCCCGAGAUUCGAUCAUCGGUAUCUCAAUACCUAGUUCAAUCUCGUUACCGGCAAGUAUCUUUACUCGUUAUGUAAUCCAUCAUCCCGCAACUAACUCAUUAGUCACAUUGCUUGCAAGGCUUAUAGUGAUGUGCAUUACCGAGAGGGCCCAGAGAUACCUCUCCGACAAUCGGAGUGACAAAUCCUAAUCUCGAAAUACGCCAACUCAACAAGUACCUUCGGAGACACCUGUAGAGCACCUUUAUAAUCACCCAGUUACGUUGUGACGUUUGGUAGCACACAAAGUGUUCCUCCGGUAAACGGGAGUUGCAUAAUUUCAUAGUCAUAGGAACAUGUAUAAGUCAUGAAGAAAGCAAUAGCAACAUACUAAACGAUCAAGUGCUAAGCUAACGGAAUGGGUCAAGUCAAUCACAUCAUUCUUCUAAUGAUGUGAUCCCGUUAAUCAAAUGACAACUCAUGUCCAUGGCUAGGAAACUCAACCAUCUUUGAUUAACGAGCUAGUCAAGUAGAGGCAUACUAGUGACACUAUGUUUGUCUAUGUAUUCACACAUGUAUUAUGUUUCCGGUUAAUACAAUUCUAGCAUGAAUAAUAAACAUUUAUCAUGAUAUGAGGAAAUAAAUAAUAACUUUAUUAUUGCCUCUAGGGCAUAUUUCCUUCAAUGAUGUUUCUCCCCCUCUACUCUCUUGUAAUGGAUUGAGUUUUCCCUUUGAAGUUAUCUUAUCGGAUUGAGUCUUUAAGGAUUUGAGAACACUUGAUGUAUGUCUUGCAUGUGCUUAUCUGUGGUGACAAUGGGAUAUCACGUGAUUCACUUGAUGUAUGUUUUGUUGAUCAACUUGCGGGUUCCGUGACCUCGUGAACUUAUGCAUAGGGUUUGGCACACGUUUUCUUCUUGACUCUCCGGUAGAAACUUUGGGGCACUCUUUGAAGUACUUUGUGUUGGUUGAAUAGAUGAAUAUGAGAUUGUUUGAUGCAUAUCGUAUAACCAUACCCACGGAUACUUGAGGUGACAUUGGAGUAUCUAGGUGACAUUAGGGUUUUGGUUGAUUUGUGUCUUAAGGUGUUAUUCUAGUACGAACUCUAUGAUAGAUCGAUCCGAAAGAAUAAAUUUGAGGUGGUUUCGUACCCUACAAUAAUCUCUUCGUUUGUUCUCCGCUAUUAGUGACUUUGGAGUGACUCUUUGUUGCAUGUUGAGGGACAGUUAUAUGAUCUAAGUAUGUUAUUAUUGUUGAGAGAACUUGCACUAGUGAAAGUAUGAACCCUAGGCCUUGUUUCCUAGCAUUGCAAUACCGUUUACGCUCACUUUUAUCAUUAGUUACCUUGAUGUUUUUAUAUUUUCAGAUUAUAAAUACCUAUAUCUACCAUCCAUAUUGCACUUGUAUCACCAUCUCUUCGCCAAACUAGUGCACCUAUACAAUUUACCAUUGUAUUGGGUGUGUUGGGGACACAAGAGACUCUUUGUUAUUUGGUUGCAGGGUUGCUUGAGAGGGACCAUCUUCAUCCUACGCCUCCCACGGAUUGAUAAACCUUAGGUCAUCCACUUGAGGGAAAUUUGCCACUGUCCUACAAACCUCUGUACUUGGAGGCCCAACAACGUCUACAAGAAAAAGGUUGCAUAGUAGACAUCAGGUUGCGGGAGAGUGGACCGCUGUAGAUAGAUGGGGGAAGGUGAUGAAGAUGUUGGUGAGGAUGACGGAGGUGUUGGUGUAGAUUGCGGUGACGACGAUGGCCCCGGCGGUAUUCCGGCGCCACCAGGAGAGAGGGGGAGAGGGCCCCCCUUCUCCUUCUUCUUCCUUGACCUUCUCCCUAGAUGGGAGAAGGGUUUCCCCUCUGGUCCUUGGCUUCCAUGGCACGGGAGGGGCGAGAGCCCCUCCGAGAUUGGAUCUGUCUCUCUUUCUUUCUGCGUUCCAGAUUCUGGUCUUUCACCGUUUCUUAUAUUCCCGGAGAUCCGUAACUCCGAUUGGGCUGAAAUUUGGACACAAUUUUUAUCCGGAUAUUGGCUUUCUUGCGGCAAAAGAAGGGCACCAACCACCUUAUAGGGUGGCCACGAGGGUCAGGGGCGUGCCCACCCCUGGGGCGCGCCCCCUGCCUCGUGGCCCCCUUGGGCAUCGUCUCGCGUUGAUUCUUCUUCCCAAAAAUCACAUAUAUUCCCAAAAAAAUCUCCGUCAGUUUUUAUCCUGUUUGGACUCCGUUUGAUAUGGAUUUUCUGCAAAACAAAAAACAUGCAACAAACAGGAACUGGCACUAGGCACUAGAUCAAUAUGUUAGUCCCAAAAAUAGUGUAAAAAGUUGCCAAAAAUAUGUAAAAGUUGUAGAAUAUUGGCAUGGAACAAUCAAAAAUUAUAGAUACGAGGGAGACGUAUCAGCAUCCCCAAGCUUAAUUCCUGCUCGUCCUCGAGUAGGUAAAUGAUAAAAAAGAUAAUUGUUGAUGUGGAAUGCUACCUAGCAUAAUCUUGAUCAUGUAAUAUAAUCAUGGCAUGAAUAUUAAGACACGAGUGAUUCAAAGCAAUAGUCUAUCUUUUGACAUUAAGACAACAAUACUUCAAGCAUACUAAUAAAGCAACCAUGUAUUUUCAAAAUAACAUGGCCAAAGAAAGUUAUCCCUACAAAAUCAUAUGGUCUGGCUAUGAUCCAUCUUCACCACACAAAAUAUUCAAAUCAUGCACAACCCCGAUGACAAGCCAAGCAAUUGUUUCAUACUUUUGACAUUCUUAAACCUUUUCAACUUUCACGAAAUACAUGAGCGUGAUCCAUGGACAUAGCACUAUACACUACAGGAAUCAGCUAUUUUGCCGUCUGCCACGGCUGACGGCAAAGGCAUGAACGGCGGACGGCAAAGGCCUUUGCCGUCAGCCGGGACGGCAAAAGGCUCCGGCAAAGUAGGCUACGGUAAACAUCUACUUUGCCGUCUGCUUCCUGGCGGCUGACGACAAAGGGCCUUUGCCGUCUGCCGCGGACGGCAACGAGAUUGGACGGCAAUAAUUGCGCUGUCGGUCCGUUAAGUGGCUAACGGCAGGCCUUUGCCGUCCGCCGCUGACGGCAAACAUUCUCGUUGGUCGUCGAGGUCGGGGUGUCGGUGCUCGGGGUGUCGGUACUCGGGGUGUCAGGUGUCGGGGUGUCGGUGGUCGGGGUGUCGGUGCUCGGGGUCGGGGUGUCGGUGGUCUUCUUCUUCUCCUCCUCUCCUCUAGCUUUCUCCUCCUCAUCCUCCUCCUCUCCUCUUUCUUCUUCUUCUUCUUCUUCUGUUCUUCUUCUUCUUCUUCUUCUUCUUCUUUCUUCUCCUCCUCCUCCUCUUCUUCUUCUUCUUCUUCUUCUUCUUCUCCUUUUUCCUCUUCUUAAACCUAGCACUAAGUAACCUAAAACAAAACUAAAACUAAACUAAUAGUAAUCUAAACUAAAAAACAGAAAAAACAGAAAAAAAUCUAAAACUAGAAAACCAAACUAAACUAAAUCUAAAACUAAACUAAAAGUAAUCUAAACUAAAAAACAGAAAAAACAGAAAAAAGGAGAAGAGGGGUGGGGCU